UUAUCACUUGAUCCCUCUCUUGUCGUGUUUCGUCGCUGGUCGAUCGUACGUUUUCUGAAAAAACAAAAAUACUGGGGCACUGUGGAAUUUUUUACGUACUGUUCGAUAAUAUAAUUAUUGCUAAAAAAAUGACACUAUGUGAGCUAUAAGGGUAAUUAUUCAGUCCUCUCUUGAUUAAAUCUGAACCCCAGAUGACAUGUCCAAGAACUCCCACCUCAAGAACUUGAAGGCGCUCGGCCAUCUGGAGGUCCUCCGCGCCGACCUGGACCAAGAAGGCAGCUUCGACGAGGCCGUCGCUGGCUGCCACUACGCCUUCCUCGUCGCCGCUCCGGUUUGAACCUCGCGUCAGAGGAUCCAGAGGUGAGCAACCACCACGAAUGAUAAUCCGGACUCCGGAGUUGAUCGUUCCCAUGCCACGAUCAUCAAUCAGUACGUACUUCGCCGGUGGUUAUUUUUAUUUCAGAAAGAUGUGAUCGAGCCUGCUGUCCGGGGAACGCUGAACGUGAUGAGGUCGUGCGCGAGAGCCAGGACGUUGCGGCGCGUGAUCCUGACCUCGUCGUCGGCCGGCGUGUACAUCAGGCCGGAGCUGCCGCAGCAGGGGGACGACGACGACGGGCACGUCGUCCUGGACGAGGACUCCUGGUCCGACGUCGAGUACCUAAGAGCCGAGAAACCGCCGCUCUGGUGGGCCUACUGCGUGUCCAAGGUGCUCCUGGAGAAGGCGGCGUGCAGGUUCGCGGAGGAGCACGGCAUCAGCCUGGUCACCAUCUGCCCCGUCGUCACCGUCGGCGAGGCGCCGGCUCCGGUCGUCAACACCAGCGUCCCCCUCUGCCUCUCGUUUCUUACCGGUGAGCGAUGAGGAGGAUGUGAGGUCCCUGUCGUUGUGCUGGCACUAAUUGCGGUUGGCCGGUCUUUUUCAGGCAACGAGGCACUGCUCGCGGCGCUCAAAGGCAUCGAGAAGACCUCCGGCGGGGUGCAGCUGGUGCACGUCGACGACCUCUGCCGCGCCGAGCUGUUCGUCGCCGAGGAGGCGGCCGCCGCGGGGAGGUACAUCUGCUGCAGCCUCAACACGACCGUCGUCGAGAUCGCGCGUUUCCUGGCACGCAAGUACCCGCAGUACGGCGUGGAAACAAAUUUGUCGUAAGAAUAAUCGAGCCAACCGAUGAUGCUGAUUGAUCUGACGUCCUCAGUGAUGAAUAAAGAUUUUUGGUGGUUAUAUGUUCUUAUCUGAGAUCCUGUUUCUGAAAUCAAUGCAGCACCGACGACGACGAGCAGCUCCUGGAGAAGCCGAGAGUGAGCCUGUCGUCUGCAAAGCUGGUUGGGGAAGGGUUCGAGUUCAAGUACAAGACCCUAGACGAGAUAUACGGUGACGUCGUACGUCGAGUACGGCAAGGCACUGGGAAUUCUGCCCUACUGAUAUAGCGUGGAUAGUCUGAUGUGUAGCCCGUUUUGGGAUAGUCUAUUUUGUCAAUAUCUAUAUCUAUUCUACUUCUACAUCCAUCUAAUAUUAAAAGAAAAAAAUUAUGUCGUCUAUUUUUUUUUCAUCCAUCGGAUCAUCCCAUUAUGCCUCACUUUUCUCCAUCCUCAUCUCACAUUUGUUGCCACACACAUUUCUAAUCCAAGUUCAACACGGGAUCAUAUUUUUUUUCUAAUCUAAAACCUGCACGAUCUUAAUCUACGGCAAAACCACACGUUUCAAAUAGUGAAUGUCUAGCCAUGAUGCAGAGUCUGAUUCCAAAAAUAUAUCAGAAUAUAUGACAUAAUAGUUGUAUAAAUCUUCAAUCCAAAAGUCGUGACAGUAUAAUAAAUUGUAUGUUCUAUUGCAAUGUCUGGAUAUGUUUGCUAGUUAUUGAAAAAUAUGCUAGGGUUAAGUUAUCGAAUGGGAUGGUCUACUGUGCUAGCUAGUACUAGCAGAACUACAUACUCCCUCCAUACCAGAUUUAAGUGACGUUCUGGGCACCUGUUUAGAUUUCGUAAAGCAGCAAAAAUGGGCAUGGCGUUUUAGCCUCUGAAGAAGUCCGGCGAACUGGAAUGCCCCUGCCGCUUCGUUCGUCGCAGAGCAAAAAUGGCACAGGACGUGGGAUUUGAACCGCUGCCCUCGCCCACGCGCACCUCGAAACCACCCUAACCAGUAGAGAUGAGAGUCUUUCAUGUCUAGGAACACCUUCGGCUCCAUUUAAUAGGGGCUAAACCGGAAGAUUAGCCCUUAAUCAAUGACUCCUUGGUAAGCACAAUCAUGUUCUAAACGUCAUGUAAUCUUGGUACGGAGGGAGUAUCAGCUUGAGACCUUAGGAGAUAUAGAGGCCGGCCGGGCUAGACUACCUUAUUAGGGCCAUCGGCUGCUAGAGCACUCCAUUAAAUGGAUGGUGGGUUUCUCGGGUAUCUUAGGUUAAACUUGUAAAACCAAUAGUUUAGCAUUGCUUUCUCUAGGUUUAUUAGGUUGGUUCUAAUCUAAUUUGCAUCAAGUACAAAAGGUGCGUUUAGUUUGAAGGAUCAUCACGAAUGAGAUUUGACAAAUCUAGUUUCACUAGUUUAUUUUGUUCUGGGGCAACGAGGGACGAAACCAUCCCCAGGUGAAAUAUUUCUCCUAAAUCCAGCUGACUUGUGGCAAUAGCGACCGGAUUGAGUAGAGCACAACCACUAUUGAGGAUGGCAUGGCCCUAGGGCAAAGGCGACAAGGACAUAGUAGUGUCGGCACGGAACAAAAAGACAUCUCGACACAUGUGGUGCUCAUGGCGACGGUGUGAUGGCUCGGUGGAGCAUAUGUGGCGAAGGAGAGAGAUCAAGGAAGGAGAAGGUGUGGUAUUGGCUGACAUGUGGGGUCCCAAGACUAAAAGUGACUAAUGGCGUAGAAAACACCAUCCGCCUCAUGUCGUUUGAUCUUUCCGACCAAAUAAUAAGAUAAGACCGUUUGGUCCUUCCAACCAAGGCCUUGUGGAAUUUUACAAAAUAGAAAUAGUAGCACUUUUGUUUGAAUUUGACCAAUAUUAUCCAAUCAAACUAGUCUCAAAAGAUUUGUCUCGCAAAUUACAGAUAAACUAUAUAAUUAGUUAUUUCUUUUAUCUAUAUUUACUUAUUUAGUGCUCCAUGCAUGUGUUGCGAGAUUCGAUGUGAUGGGGAAUGUGAAAAAUGUUGCAAAUUAUUUUGGGAACUAAACAAGGCCCAAAUAAUAAAAUAAGAUGACCCCAUUCCCUUUUCGAUCAAACAAGAGCUGAGACAGUUCCAUCCUAAAAGCUAGGGAUGGAUUCAUUCCAUGGCACGUUGUCUCUCCUUACCAAACACAUGUGAAGGCAACAACUCCAUCUCAACUGUGUACAACGUGGACAUUGAUUUUACUCAAAUGGGAGGAGAAAAGUCCACAACGAAUCAAUAACAUCUGCCCUUUUUAUUUUAUUAUAUGUUUUUAUUAUUUUUAUUGUUAUAUAUGUAACCUCAAUAAUUGAGUCUGUGGUUUUUUUCUGUCAUAGCACAGAUGUAAAUACUCAUACAUGUACAUACCGAACCUACAAUGGACUAAUUUCGCAUUUCCUCAUAUGGGUGGAAACCAUGUCAAAGUAAAAGAAAUAGUAUCAAAAAAUAAAAUUGUGUUCUUGGGCUUGACUAGGGGGCUAAAUGGCCAGCAAGAAAACUCUUACUUUAAAGGCAUCAAUUUUUAACAUUUAGCCCAUUGAAGCAGCAUCAGUCAUAUAUCACCACUGACAACAUGGUGAAAAAGAAUAAAGGAGCAACGUACACUGUGGCAAUACUGGCACCGCACCACAGCAAGUUCUUGCUCCGACAAGAGGUUAAGAGCCUUGCUCAUAACCUUGUCAUAGUCGUUAAUGCCCGACUUUUGAAUAUAUAGCACCAAUCCGAGAAUUGACCCGCCGGUGAAGACGAUUUCCAACCGUCCCUCUUGAAUUGCCAACAGGGGGCGAAGGAAGCUUGUGCGUGCUAACUGAACACCUACCAACCGGUCAAGCGUUCGAACAAAAAAACCAACCGGUCAAGCGCAACGGACUGAAGUGUGUACUGUGUACGUGCUCCAUGAUAAAAUGCAGACUAGCAGCUCCAUGAUCAGAACUCACUCCUGCAUGCAAAUCGUAGCAAAAAAUAAAAUAUUUAGUGGCGAGUUCUCAUUUCCCCCAUUGCCAGGCGGAAGAGGAGGUGAUCGGCAAUGUCAGAGGGCGGCAGGAAGCAGAAGACGGCGUGCGUGACCGGAGGUAACGGGUACAUCGCCUCGGUGCUCAUCAAGAUGCUGCUCGAGAAUGGCUACGCCGUGAAGACGACGGUCAGGAACCCCGGUUCGUUCGGUUCUUCCCUAGCUAGCUAGUUUCCACACUAGAUUGAGCGUGAACAGUUGCAGUUUCUUGUGAUCCCGUGACAAAACUUUGUAUUAUUGUGAUCCUGAAUCGCAGAUGACAUGGCCAAGAAUUCCCACCUCAAGGACAUGCAGGCGGUCGGCCCCCUGACAGUCCUCCGCGCCGACCUGCUAGAAGAAGGCAGCUUCGACGAGGCCGUCGCCGGCUGCGACUACGCCUUCCUCAUCGCCGCUCCGGUGAACCUCCAUUCGAAGAAUCCUGAGGUGCACAAACGUCACCACUACCUACGACUUGUGAUUUUCACCUGCUCCGAUCCUUUGCUCAAAUGUGGUGGCGGUGACUGAACUGAUGGCAGAAAGAACUGAUCGAGCCUGCUGUCCGAGGAAUCCUGAACGUCAUGAGGUCGUGUGCCAAGGCAGGGACAGUGAAGCGCGUGAUUCUGACCUCGUCGGCGGCUGCAGUCGCCGGCAGGCCGUUGCAAGGCGGCGGCCACGUUCUGGACGAGGAGUCCUGGACCGACGUCGAGUACCUCACUGCCAAAAAGUCCAGUCACUGGGUAAUAAGGAAAUGGCACCAUAAAUGUCCUGUCCCCGUUCUCGUCCGAAUCGGAAGAAUGGCACCAUCCAUUUCUGCUGAUGACGAGUAUGGCACACCAUCCAACAUCCAUGUGCUUGCAUCGCAGGGGUACGGGGUCUCCAAGGUGCUCGCGGAGAAGGAGGCGUGCAGGUUUGCGAAGGAGCACGGCAUCAACUUCGUCAGCGUCUGCCCCGUCCUCACCGUCGGCGCAGCACCUGCCACAAAGAUGGACACGAGCCUCCACGCUAGCCUCUCCUGCUAUCCGGUCGCUUCCAAAUUCCCGUGUUUUGACUCCCAGUCAUUCAGCAGUGUUUUUCUCUGACAAUAAAUUAAUCAACAGUACUUUCUGCCAUGGCAGCCAAACGAACAAGAUAAUUCGCACGCUACAGUGCAUGUCUCAUGAGUCAUGUUCAUGGUUCACCGAUCGAAAUUUGCAGGCGACGAAGCAGCGUUCCGGGUGCUGAGAGGAAUCGAGAUGGCCACGGGCUGCAUGCCGCUGGUUCACGCCGCUGACCUGUGCCGUGCGCAGAUGUUCGUCGCCGAGGAGGACGCGGCCGCCGGGAGGUACAUCUGCUGCAGCGUCAACACCACCAUCGUCGAGCUCGCCCAUUUCCUGGCGGACAAGUACCCGCAGUACACCGUGAAGACACAUCUGCUGUAAGAAUAAGAAUCGGCCGGAUUUCGAUCACACCUACAGCUCUGGAUUCUGGAACAUAUUUUGCAGGGGACAGAUCAGUGACCGAAUAAUUCUCGCGCUUUAAUUUGCAGCUCCUCCGGGGUCCUUGAAAAGCCGAGAGUGAGCCUGUCGUCGGCGAGGCUGCUCGGCGAAGGGUUCAAGUUCAAGUACGAGACGCUGGACGAGAUCUACGACGACGUGGUGGCGCAGGGCAAGGCCCUGGGGGUUCUGCCCAACUGAUACUUUCUUUGCAUUGCAAAGCGAUCGAGAGCACCAAAUUAAAUAGCAAUGAAGUUGGGAAACAAAUAAAUUUGUUGUAUCUCUAUCCAUACGGUAGCUGAACUGUAGAGGUUCAGUCAGUUUGUGUAAAAGUGGGAUCUGUGCGUUUGUGUACUCCUGCAAUAUCUAUAUCUAUAUUUACAUAUAUAUACUUUUUUGUCUUAUUAAAAAGGAAAAUUUUCUCUCAUCCAAAUCUUCGUCCCGCACCAUCCACUGUUACUUUUCCUACAAAUGUUGAGUAUAUCAGAGUCCCCAAAUUCCAUAUGUCCUGAACUUUUUCGAAAGAUCAUAUGUCCUGAACUUUACGUGUUCAACACACCAAUUACGUAUUUCCACGGCCUGUACUUUGACGUUCAUCUUCAAUAUUAGCAGCGAAAGGAUUUUACAUAAAAAACACAUUGCUAGGGUUCUAGAUUUGAGGGCAGAAAACCAUUGGCUCCAAAAACCAAGCAAUUAGAAGGUAAGACAUGGCACACCCUGGCAAGACAUGCAUGGCACGCUCUUCCCGUUCUCAUCCUCGCACGCUGUUUGGCUGGAGGUCUGGGUGACUUGCCUGGAAAAAAAAUCUUGUACAGAAUGUCCGUUUGAUUGGAGGCCUGUGCUUUGAAUGUAUAAUAUUAUGUGUACUUAUGGUGUAUGAUAAACAUAUACUUUUAUAGUUUAACUCAAAUAAAUAGAUGAUCUAGAUUAGUGUUAUUUCCCCUUGUCUUAGAGAUUAAUAAGUAACAGCGACAAAGUAUUUGUUAAAAAAAAAUAUCCGUUCAAGGAAUCAAGCAACUAACUACCAAUAAGAGUAGUAGGGACCAGACAAAAGAAACAAUAAAGACGGCACAGACAAAAAAAAAAAAGCUAACAUGCAUAGAGCUGUUUCUUUCCUCUUAAUAAGCUAUAGUAGAAAAUAUUAUUUGUUUUAUAAUAAAAAAUACUACUAAAUGACUUAUAGAUUUGGCUAAUAAACUUAAGUGAACAGCACUUCAAUUUCAGUCGCCUCUGGACAUCGACGCGCUUGCCUGGUACAAGCACAGGGCAUUAACCAAACGUACACGAGGCAAGGCGUGCGCAAGGUCCGGACCAAGCAAUUCUGUCCCAGGGCCCUAAUGUACACGAAGGCAACGUCAUAGACGUAGACGUAGACGUAGGUAUCAAUGUUCAAACUUGCAAGCGAGGAGGGCCCAUCAUAAUUGAUCUCAAUAAUGAUGACAACGUUGAUACAGGCUCAGAAGUAGAUGCCUAAAAUGAUGUCCUGAAAAUGUAUAUGCAAGAUGUUUUAUGAAAGGAAGGUGGGCAACCAAAUUACAUCCUUCUCACCUAAACAUUUAUACCAGGUAAAUAAACUUUAGUAUCAUUUUCCUUUUUUUUGCUAUUUCAUCUAUACAACUUAAUAAUAAUAAUAAUAAUAAUAAUAAUAAUAAUAAUAAUAAUAAUAAUAAUAAUAAUAAUAAUAAUAAUAAUAAUAAUAAUAAUAAUAAUAAUAAUAAUAAUAAUAAUAAUAAAGAAAUAAAAUUUCUCACUGCUAAAAUUUUGUACGGCCUAGCCCGUCUCUUAUUUUCAAGGGCCCAACCACACCUCCUGACCAGUCACCCACUAAAGGCACACCAACUAAUGGGCUAUGCUAACUUGAGGCCCACUAAAGGCACACCAACCAAUGGGCUAUGCUAACUUGAGGCCCACUAAAGGCACACCAACCAAUGGGCUAUGCUAACUUGAGGUCCACGGGAAGUGCUUUCAAAUAUAGACAAAAUUUUUGGAACUAGCGUCAAAUGCUAACUAGAGGCACACCACAAAUAUAGACAACCUAGUUUGUAUUUGACAAAUAUUGUCCAAUACUAACUAGGUUUAAAAGAUUCGUCUCGUCAAUUCCGACCAAAAUGUGCAAUUAGUUUUUAUUUUUGUCUAUAUUUAAUACUCCAUGCAUGCGUCUAAAGAUGUGAUGUGACGGGAAAUCUGAAAAAUUUUACAAUUUUUUUUGGGAACUAAACAAGGCCUAAGUGUUGAAUUUAGCCUUAUUAAAUAUCAAUAUCUAUCAUUUCUGUUCCACCGUAUCGCCCAAUGCAACAAAUAAAGUGCCACUGGAGCAUGUUGCCAUGGGUGUGGGUUGGCUCCUGGAGGAAGAAUGAUAGGAUCGGAUUAUUAGCUUGAGUAUCCUGCUUUUUAAUCCUACUACUAUCAGACCAAUUGGCAUCGUCGCGAGGGUUCUCAACACGCGGCGUCUAUAUGAACUGACCUGGCGAUGCUCGAAGCCAUGCACUUUCAGGCGCCUCUCCAGGUUUGCCCCAUGGCUGACGCAUAUGGUUACACGGCGCCAUCCGGCAACGGGAGAGCAUCACCGUACCACCAAGUGCCUCAUUUGCUAAAUGAUGAAGUAGAUCUCACGUCUGUGCCUGAAAGUCCUCAGUGUCCUGUGAUUUUUAGUGACUACAGAGUAAUUCACUUUCUGGACACGUCAGUUUCAUCCCUUUAUUUACUAGCCUUUCGAAAAAGUUUCAUCCCUUUACUUCUAGUGUGGUGUCUAUAUAUAUAUAUAUAUAUAGCGAUGGCCCCCGACAGUUACAAGCCACCAAAUCGAAGACGACGACGGGUCUCAGUGUCAAUGCUCCCUGCCGAGAGAGCUUUUUGUGAGCCCUAUCUCGCAUGUCAUGAAAGAGAGGUUUUUCGCGAUCGAGAACGUGACUUGCACGUGUUUCAUUAAGAGUGAUAGUCAUGAGAGAGGUGGUCAGUUGUGAUCGGCGUAUAAUGGCAGCUGGCGACAUGAAGAGGACGGCGUGUGUGACCGGAGGGAACGGGUAUACAUCUGGGGAAUCUUUUCGUUCGAACGUUCGGACAAGAAACACGGUUUGAUUCUUGUCACGGUCUUUCUCGUCACGAGUUCCAACCAUAGAGCGACAGCUACACAGCUGAGCGACUGUACGCAGCGAAGCUAGAGAAAAUUUAAGGACGGUGCACUUACUUUAUGAAUGUAUAGAUUUUUUUAAUAAACAGGAGAGGUCUGUGGAGGUACAUAUAUAUAGUGAAAAAUUGGUCACUAUAACUGAUUUUUAAAAUUUUAGGAAUGUAUAGGCACCUCCUAAUGACACUGCAGCUUCACCCAUGUAUGUUUCUUUUCCUUUUUCUUCUCGGGACGGAUGGACAGGUAGUUGACUUUCUUCUUAUUUGUAACGCUUGCUAGUUUGUAGUGGUUGGCUUGCGUUAGUUUCUUUUCUAUUUCUUUUUUCCUUUUUUGUUUUAUGUAUUUUUUAUUAUUUUCUCAUUUCUUAUAUUUUUAUGUUUCUUUUUAUUUCUUUUUUCUAUUUUCUCUUUUUUUUCCUCUUUUUAUGUUCCCACGAUGUGCAUGUUCUAUUUUUAUCUUUUUCCUCUUCUUUUGAAUUCUCUUCAUUGUUUUUCUUUGCUUCUAUUUAUUCUUACCUUUUCUUUUCCUAUUAGUUUUUUAUGUUUUUUCAUUCUUAUUUUUUCUUUUCCCGCCCCUAUUUCAGUUAUUCAUUUUUUAUUUGUUCUAUAUAUUUUAUCCUUGUUAAUAAUAUUUUUGUUUCUUUUUCUAAUUAUGUUUUUCUUUGAUCCAUGUUUUUUAUUUUUUAUAUUUCUUUAUUUUAUUCCUUUUCUUUUCGUGUAUAUUUCUUUUUUCUUUUCUGCUUUUAUUAUUAUUAUUAUUAUUAUUAUUAUUAUUAUUAUUAUUAUUAUUAUUAUAUGUUUCAUAUUUUUAAUGAUAUUUAUUUUCUUAUUAUGUAUUUUGCGAUGUUCGCCUAAUCUACAUGUGAUAUUCUUGUAAUAUACAUGAGAUGUUUUAUGACGUUUUUUGUGAUGUUCACACAAUAUACAUAUGAUGUUCUAUGAUGUAUUUAGUGAUGUUCACGUAAUAUAUAUGCGAUGUUCUAUAAUGUAUUUAGUGACGUUCUAUGGCAUAUUUUAGUGAUGUUCACUUAGUAUAUAUGUGAUGUUCUAAGAUCUAGUUAGUGAUGUAUAUGUGAUGUUCUAUAAUGUACUUGGUGAUGUUUUAUGGUGUAUUUUGUGAUAUUCACUUAGUAUAUAUGUGGUAUUCUAUAAUCUAUUUUAGAAUGUUUAAAAAUUAUCCGUGUGAUAUUUUUUAAAUUUUUCUCUGUUACAUCUUAAUUUUUUAUUAUGCUUUGGUCUAGAUUUUAUGUUUUAUUUAUGCUAGAUAUUUAUUUAUUUAUUUUUAUAUAUAUUAUAAUACCAAUAUCAUGCAUUUAAACUAAACAUUGUUCUUCUAAACUAAGAAUAUUUUUCUUACAAAGACGGAACAUUGUUCUCUGAACUUGGAACAUUUUCUCUGCUUAAUAAAGAAAAUAAUCUAUUUUCAUAAGAUAAAUAUUUAUCAAUAAAAAAUUAUCUAAAUAUAUCUAUGUAAGUCUUGUUUUAAAGAAUUUAUUAAAAAACCAAAUGAUUUAUUUAAAAUUUAAUUUUAUAUGUUUGGUUUAAUAUUUACGACUUUUUUUUAAUAAAAACGUAUGACAUCACCUCAUGCAAAUCAUCAAGCAAAUAAAAUAAUCAUUUGCAUGCAGGCUAGUGUCCUUAUCCGUCCAGUGCGCCAUCCUCUGGUGGUUGGAAAAGUUCUUUUUCCUAUGCUCCUGUGAGGCUCACGAGAACAAGUAUUACAGUGGGCUGUAAGCUGGCUAAAUGCUGAGGUGGAGGAGAGAAGAGAGGAGAGAGAGGAGAAGCAGGCUGUAAGCUUACAGCCAGCUUAGGUACAGGAAUCAAGAAACUUUGUGAGAGAGAUAAGUGGGACAUAUAUUAAUAGUGAAUAGCUAACUAUUGUAUGGAUGGGCUGAGAGAAGGCUGCAAAAAACCUUACAGCCAGAUAUUAUUAAACUUGCUCUCGCUGCGAGCGCCGGAGGGAAAUUUAUCGGCGCGAAGCCCAAGGAACCGCACGUUUCCUCUGUUCGCACGCUUUCCUAGCCAGGGAUAGGUGGAGACACUGUAGGCAAAAAAAGAAGUCUCGUCAAUUUUUUAUUAAACUGUGCAAUUACUUCUUAUUUUCGUUUAUAUUUAAUACUCUAUAUAUGUGUCUAAAAAUUCGAUGUGACAGGAAAUCUAAAAAAUUUUACAAAAUUUUUUAAAACUAAACAAAGCCACUAUCGAACGCAUAUUUCGGUCCGCCCAUCGAACGCUAGCAGCCCUCAGUAUACAUCCCUCCGCGAUCAUCAAGGGCCCGUUUGGUUGCCCGUAUAAGACCAUACAUGCAUCUCGGGAUACAUCGUGACCCUGUUUGGUUGUCUGCAUGCAGCUUUGGACCAGACAUUGGGCAUGCAAAAAGAAGCCCUCAGCCAGGCUGGAGGAACGCCCGAAUCGGCCGUUCCUGGCCAGCCAGACUGGGCAAAUGCAGCCGUUUACGUGGCUAGCGGUGUAUUAGUGCGUGAUUAGUAAAUAUCAAGUGAUAUUACUGUAUUUUAAAGUUGAUUAAGAUAUAAUUAGAUAAAAUAAGAUCUGUAAGAGUGUAUUCAUACACAAAUAAAAAUUAUAAUCAUAAUUUUAUAAUAUUUUUAUCUCAUACAGUUUACCUUCAUAUAGAUAACCAAACAGCAUCUAAUCAGAGUCUGACUUCACAUAUGCAUACAACCAAACUAAACUUCCUUUAUGUAUUUGGUCUGGUUGGGAUGAGAAGGGAACCAAAUAGGCCCCAAGAUGCUGCUGGAGAAGGGCUACAUCGUGAAAUCGGUAAUGAUAUGUAUAAGACGUCCGGACGGACGGACGCUGCUGUCCACUCGUUUUAUCCGAUUCACUCGUUGCCUUCUUCUCUCCCUCGCGCUGCUGUCCACACGUUUUAUUCACUACUUUUCAUCUUCUCUGGCCGCUCCACUUCUCUUGCCACACACGUCCGCACUCUACUACGCCGCUGGCUAGCCAUCCCUCUCUCUCCCUUCCUCCCUUCCUCACCUCGCUACAACCUCCAUGUCUCCAUGCCACCGGAGUGGGGGCGGCGACGGUGGCUUGCAGCAAGCCGCACGUCUCCCUAUCUUCGUACUCUCUUCCUCGCUCGGCGACCUCCAUGGAUGACGGCGCACCUCCAAUGAGGUAGGUGGGGACGAUUUGGAUCUGAGGUCUCUCUUUCCCCUUCCUCCUCCUAUGGAUCUAGAUCUAAGCCCUCCUCUUCUUCUUCUUCUGUGGAUCUAGAUCUGAGCCCUCCUCCCUCCUCCUCCACGUUCUUCAACUCUGCUCCUCCUCCUCCUACUUCUCCUUUGGGUCUGGAUCUACGUGAUGUGGUGGUGGUUAAGAUUUCGAUGAGCUUUUGGGUUUCAGCGUUCGCGCAUGUUGUAAUGGUGUUCUCUGCUUGUUGCAGUACGUUUUCAAGUGAUGUUGCAGUAGGGUAGGAUUUUGACGAGCUCUCAGGUUCAAGUCUCGUCUUCAUUGCAAUGGUUCUCUCUAGACGUUGCAGUAGGUUUCAGUCGUUUGUUGCAAUACUGUGUUUCAAGAUGUUGUUUCACUUGCUUCAAUCUGCAUGUUCUAGUAGUUUUCUUUCAUGUUGUCGCAGCAGUUGUUCGGUGUUGUUGUAGUACUAUGUCCAUGGUGUUUCAGUUGCUCCAUCUAAUGUUUCAAUCUUCACUGUUGUAUUAGUUGUUGCAUGUUGUUGCAACAGCUGUUCGGUGUUUGUUGCACUACUAUAUCCAUGGUGUUUCGGUUUCUCCACCCAAUGCUUCAAUCUAGCUGUUGCAUUAGUUGUUACAUGUUGUUGCAACAGUUGUUCGUUGUUGUUGUAAUACUAGGUUUCAUGGUGUUUCAGCUGCUCCAUCCAAUGCUUCAAUCUGUAUGUUGUAGUAGUGUUUGCAUGUUGUUGUAGUAGGUGUUCAGUGUUUGUUGUAAUACUAUGUUUUAUGGUGUUUCAGCUACUUCAACCUAUUGUUGUAGUAGUAUAUCUAUGUUGUUGUACUAUCACGCGCAUUGUGUUGCAGCGUUAAGUCUAUGGGGUAGGCUAUCGGGACGAGUUGACGAUGGGCAGAUGUGCUAGGGACCGGUGAGACGAGGGGCGAGGUGGAUCCGGUGCUCGCGGUGGUGGGGACGGGCUCCUUGUCUGGGGAGCGGACGAAGAGCAGUCCUCCGUGCGGGGCAAGUAGAGCAGAGCGCGAGAUGGUUGCAGACGGACGGUUUCCCUUCUUUUUCUUUUUUUUUUCUUUUUGCGGGUGGGGGCUCGACGUACGGAUGUGUUGUUGACGCUUUUUUUUAUUUUCUAUGGAUGGCGCGGGUUGGAGGCUCGGCGUCCGGAUACGGUACUGGCGCCGGACGUCCGGGCGCUAGGUCAAAGAACCCAGUCCGGAUCACGGUUCGACCCAUCCCAGAGUCCCGUCGCCCCGGCCUUGUUUAGUUUCUCAAAAACUAAAAAAUUUUCAAGAUUCUCCAUCAUAUCAAAUCUUACGGCACAUGCAUGAAGCAUUAAAUAUAGAUGAAAAUAAAAACUAAUUAUAUAGUUUUUCUGUAAAUCAUGAGACAAAUCUUUUAAAACCUAGUUACUUCAUGAUUAGAUAAUAUUUGUCAAAUAAAAAUGAAAAUAUUAUAAUAUCAUAAUUAAAAAAAAUUAGAUCUAAACAAGACCUAAUAUCACGUCUGCUAUUGUUUCUGCAGCUCCGUUUCUCCAUGGAUGAAGGAGACGCCGCCGUGGCGACUGGCGACCAUUCUGGAGCAGCGCGCGGCAACCGGCCGACAGAACGAGCAAACGGUGCACCUUUCGAUUUGGCGUGAGGAGGUUCCUUAAGCCAUGUGCCAUUUGUUUGCUUGCCUGUUCCUGAGUCUUGGAAUACGCUAGCCGCAGCUUCUGUGUAAGAUUUUUUUUUCUCCAAGUCAAGGCAUACUAACGUUGAGCAGCUUUUUUCUCAUGCAGUGAAUGAUUUUAGGUCUAGGCCUUGUUUAGUUGUGAAAAGAUUUCGAAUUUUGAUACUGUAGUACUUUAGUUUAUAUUUGAUAAUUAUUGUCCAAUUAUAGAUUAACUAGGCUGAAAAGAUUCGUCUCGUAAUUAAAUUACAGAUAAACUGUGCAAUUAGUUUUUGUUUUCGUCUAUAUUUAGUGCUUUAUGCAUGUGCCACAAGAUUUGAUGUGACGGAGAAUCUUGAAAAGUUUUUGAAUUUCGGGGUGAACUAAACAAAGCCUUACUGUGAAUACAUUUGAAUAUCUGAGAACAAGACCAAUAUUGAGCAUUCAAGUAUGUUACUUAAUCAUUCAAAUUCCAAAUGGAGAAGAUGGGUCCAGUUCAUCUGUCAAAUUUGUCAGUUCAGAUAUUAGACACUGGUAAAGUGCAACGCAGCCAAAAGCAAGACAACAGACUCAUAGUCAUUACGUGGCGUUGAUAAUAGAAUUACAUUUUCACAGAUAAUGUUACUCAACAUUAUGACACUCAUCAGUGAUAAGGAGGCAAUAGGAGCACGCCAACAACAAACUAUUUUUCUAAUAAUUGAACAAAAGAGCAUCAGUUGAUGGAGACUGUUAGGACUCUUGCACUAUAUUAUGAAGAACUUGAUGAAUGUCAUCACUGAAAUGUUGUUUUGACGAUAGACUUUCAGCAUUUUUGACAUAGUUGAAUAUCACUGGACAUUUUUCUGAUGGUGAGCAGUUCCCGCGCUAUCUCCUUCUUGGACAUCCCGCCGUAUGCCUGCAAAGUGUGCAAACCGAGAAAUUGUAGGCAGCAAGCGGUGGAUGUUCAGAACCACAACAACAUUUACAAUGGUACAUGUUAGCAUCAUAUACCUGGAAACGGCAUGAAUUUGAAGAACACACGCCGUGUUACAGAAGAAAUGCAGACUUUUACUUUCUCAUAAGUCAUAAGCUAGGUAACAGCGCCACAACAGAAUAGACUUCUGCACCUUAUCGUCACCUAGAGCUCUCCCACCACAAAAACAGACUCCUGCAGCUUAUCAUCACCUAGAGCUCUCCAAAAUCCAAACAGACUGUAUUCUAUUGUUACAUUCGGCUUUACACAAUUCAAAAGCACCAAACAUGAAAGCUGCACGUAGAAAACAAUGAUAAUAUGAACCUAUGAAAGGUGCAUACAAAAUAGAAGUUCCAACUUAGAUAUAACAAAUUCAUGGAUCGAGAUGCAAUUUCACCUUUGUUUGCAAAUUUCUAAUCUCAAUACAGAGUCUCAUGCACAGAACAUGUCAAAGGCUAUUUGUUGUUGCAGAUGAAGGAAAAUUAUACUUCACUACCACCACUUCUAGUUUCAGUAGGAGCUGACGCAUCAAUAUCUCCAAAAUGGCAUGGUAGCCUAAUUCAGAACUAUUUUAACAAUACCAAGAACCAGGUGAGCCGACAAAACAUAUGUAGCAGCGACUGAAACUGCGGUGCAAGUGCAACGACGACAGCUCCUGGGCUCUGCCACAACCCUCGGUCAAACAUCUGACGCUAAAAAUUAUAUUAUCAAUAGAUGAUCAGUCGCUAAAGAUAACUCAUAGGCUAUCUGUUGCUAAUUCCCUAUUUACUAGUUGAACGCCCGUUGCUAUAGACAUUCAUAUUUACUAUUGGGCCAUCAGUUGCUUAAAAUAGAUAUACUGCCGAUCAGUUGCCCCAUGUCCAACUCAUGAGCCCACGCCUCCAUCCAGCUCACGCACAAAUUUUAACGUGGCCUACACAAUGACAAACCCUAGACUCUUCUCUCCUCAAAUCUCAAAUCUAGAGAAGUGUUGCCACUUGUUCUUUCCUCUCCCAUAGCUGCCGCCAUUUUUUUCUCUCCCGCCACGCUCCACUCUCUCUCCAUCCCUUCCUAUUCCAAUUUGCCGGUCUCUUUAUCCCACUUGACUACGCGUCGUCUCCCUUCCAAAUCCCGCGCCACCCACCCCAAAUUCCCCCUAGGCCUCUCUGCUGGAGAAUAUGAGAUGCAACUCAUGCAAGAAGAUCGGAGGGAUGGGGUAGGGGUACCAUGCCACCCUUGGCCCGCUGGGUGGUGGCACACCGCCGUCAUCAUCGAUAGCUGCCACCGCUGCAUCACUCGCGCAAAAUUGAAUGGCACCGCCGGAUCUCAUUGCAAUGGAAUGACACCGGGGGUCCAGCAGGAGAUGGAGAUUCAGAUCGACUUGGAGUUGUCUGUGGAGCACACAAUAUCUUGCAAAUGCAUAUUCUUGCGCAUGAGAAUCUCUCUUGUGCUCAAUCUAUCCUUGAGGAGAAGCCAGAAGAAAUUCCCCUUUUGUUCUAAUAGGCUGGCUUCCACAACCACCGAUAAAUAGGGUGAAUUUAUCUAUGACCCACAAGAUGUUUAUAAAAUCUCUGACAAGAGAACAUAUUAGAUCCCCAGAUAUAAACUCAUUUAUUUGGUUCACCGGUAGUCUGAAAGUUCAAAGUUAGAAUGAAGUCUUGAUACCGCUGAAAAGCCCCCUCUAAAAGGGGGAGAUGGAACAAGUCAUGUAGAGGGUGAUCUAUAAAGCAUGAGAGACUGAGAGGUUUCUUUCUUCACAUAAGAAAAGAGCUUUGGAUAUUUGGCACUUAGAGGCUCCCUAACCCAAUUGUCAGUGCUUAGCAGGUAGAACCAUCAGCUAACUAAGUAGAAGCUAAACCAUUGAAGGGGGAUAAUAGCUUAAGUAUGUCCCUCCACUAGAAAGGGGCUCCCGAUAUUGACACUGGUAGUUGAUCAUUGGAAUAAUAUUUCUGCCAAAUAAGUUUCAACCAAGAUAUAUCUCUAUUGUAGAACUUAUGCAAGUGCUUCAUUGGUAAGUUUUCAUUUUGUUUCUUGAGAUCAAGUACCCCUAAACCCCCCUCAUCGUUGGUAAAUAGACCAUAGGCCAAGCAACUUAUUUAGGUGACUUUUUUGUUAUUGAUGUCAUUGCCACGCCAAAGGCAGUGCUUCCUAAUUUUGUCAAGUUGCUUGAUAACUAUUUUAGGAAGAAGAUAUGUGCAAAUAGUGAAGGUUGGUAGAGUAGUGAAAACUGGUAGUAAGCUCCAACCAACCUGCUUGACUUAGAAAAUUGGAUGUACUAACAAGCCUCCUUUCACAUCUAGAAACUAAGGGCCAGAAGUCCACCACCGAGGGUUUUGUCAAACUCAAUGGGAGCUCAAGAUAAAUGAAGGGCAGACUUCCUUUAAAACACUGAAAUGUAUUAACCAAAAUAUAGAACCAGUCAUCAGAUACAUCAAUAGGGACCAUCAUAGAUUUUGUAAAGUUGACCUUAAGACCUGUAAAUUCUGUAAAGGAAUUCAAUAAAAUCUUGAGAAAGAACAAUUGUCUAGCACAACCUUGCAUAAAAAUUAGGGUAUCAUUAGCAUAGUAAGUCUGGACAAUGAUUGAGUGACAGUGGAAGAGCAAGAAGGCCCUAAUCUUUGGCAGCAUUCAAAUGGACCGUAACAAAUCAGCUGUCAGCACAAACAAAAGUGGUGGCAGAGGGUCACCGUGCCUUACCCCACGCUUGCAAUGAAAAACCUUGAAAGGGACACCUAGGAUAUAUAUUUAUUACUAUAUACUACUACUGAAUGCAAAGAUAACAAGGACGUCAAGAAUCUGAAUGCUUACUGGAAAUGAUUGUGGCAAGACUGGCACUGCACCGCAACCGGAGCUCUUAGUUGUUGCUCUGACAAGAGGUUAAGAGUCUGGCUCAUAAACUUUUGAUACUCAUUAGUGACACAACCUGGGUGAUAGAUAAAAUGCCCGUCACUUUUGAAUGUAGCACCAACCUGUCUAGUAUCUGUUCAUGACCCGCCGGUGAAGACGAUGCCAACCGUCCGUCUCCAGUGCCAACCGGUCAAGCGUAACAAACUGAAGUGUGUACUGUGUACGCACUCCAUGAUAAAUGCAGGCUCCUCAGUCGGGACAGUCAGCAAACAGAACUCACUGCUGCAAUCCUAGCGAAAAAUAAUUAGUGGGCGAGUUCUCAUUUUCCUCAUUGCCAGGCGGAAGAGGAGGUGAUCGGCAAUGUCAGCGGGUGCCAGGAAGAAGACGGCGUGCGUGACCGGAGGUAACGGGUACAUCGCCUCGGUGCUCAUCAAGAUGCUGCUGGAGAAAGGGUACGCCGUGAAGACGACGGUCAGGAACCCCGGUUCGUUCAGUUCCUCACUAAUUUCCACACUUCAGCCUGAACACUUGAACUUGAAUUUCUUGUGAUCCCAUCCCAUGACACUUGAACUUGAAUUUCUUGUGAUCCCAUCCCAUGACUCCAUGACAAAAUGGGAUAGGAAUUGUACGUUGACAGUGGCUGGUUUAGGCUCUGAUUCUGAACGUGUUGUGCAUUGUGAUUCUGAAUAAUCCCAGAUGACAUGGAGAAGAGCUCCCACCUCAGGGACCUGCAGGCGCUUGGCCCCCUGGAAGUCCUCGGCGCCGACCUGGACAAAGAAGGCAGUUUCGACGACGCCGUCGCCGGCUGCGACUACGCCUUCCUCGUCGCCGCUCCAGUGAACCUCCAUUCGAAGAAUCCUGAGGUGCACGAAAGUCACACAGCUGCCUAUCACACACUUCUUUCGAUCUGGUAUAUGGCGCCCAUAAUGGCAAUUUUCACCUGCUCAAAAAUUUGGUGGUGACAGGAAGAAUUGAUCGAGCCUGCUGUCCGAGGAACCCUGAACGUCAUGAGGUCGUGCGCCAAGGCAGGGACAGUGAAGCGCGUGGUUCUGACCUCGUCGGCGGCCGCAGUCUCCGGCAGGCCGUUGCAAGGCAGCGGGCACGUUCUGGACGAGGAGUCCUGGUCCGACGUCGAGUACCUCACUGCCAACAAAUCCGGUCCCUGGGUAAUAGCACACAACUAUAUACUCCAUAAAUGUUCAAGUCCAGCAGAUGGUCAUUUUCCCCUACACACAUAAUAGUGUUCGUUUCAGUCCUGAAUGAUGACGAGCAUGGCAAUGGCACCGUGCUUGCACUGCAUUGCAUGCAUCGCAGGGGUACCCCGUCUCCAAGGUGCUCUCGGAGAAGGCGGCGUGCAGGUUCGCGGAGGAGCACGGCAUCAGCCUCGUCACCGUCUGCCCCGUCCUCACCGUCGGCGCGGCGCCGGCACCAAAGAUCCACACGAGCGUCCCUGCCAGCCUCUCCCUGCUAUCCGGUUGCUUCCCAAAAUUCCCGUGUCCCUUCUCUUCUCCACGUAGAGCUCUGCACUGCACCGCAUGUACUCAUCACGUCAUGGUUCCCCAAAACUUGCAGGCGACGAAGCAGCGUUCGGCGUGCUGAAAGGCAUCGAGAUGGCCACGGGCUGCGUGUCGCUCGUUCACGUUGCCGACCUGUGCCGUGCCGAGGUGUUCGUCGCCGAGGAAGACGCCGCCGCCGGGAGGUACGUCUGCUGCAGCGUCAACACCACCAUCGUCGAGCUCGCCCGUUUCCUGGCGGACAAGUACCCGCAGUACACCGUGAAGACGGACCUGCUGUAAGACUCGGCCGGGCUUUUCACGUGGGAUUCUGGGUUCUGGCACAUAUUUUGCACGGGAUAGAUUUCAGUGAUCGAAUGCUCGCGCGUGCUUUGCAGCUCCACCGGCGAGGUCCUUGAGAAGCGGAGAGUGAGCCUGUCGUCGGCGAGGCUGGUCAGUGAAGGGUUCGAGUUCGAAUACGAGACGCUGGGCAAGAUCUACGGCGACGUGGUGGAGCACGGCAAGGCCCUGGGGAUUCUGCCCAACUGAUACUUUCUAUGCGUUGUCUUCCAUCUACCAUCUGUGACCGGAUCAAGCGAUCGAGAGCACCAAAUAAAAUUACAAUGAAGUUGGGAAAUAAAUUUUCUGUGUCUCUGUACCUAUACGCUAGCUGAACUGUAGAGGUUCCGGUCAGUUGGCUCUGCGUUUCUGUGUUCCUGUAUUUCUAAAGGCAAUAACUCGUGGAACAAAAACUUGGCGAUCUGCUUUGCCUAUAAGGCAAUAACUUGCUGGCAAGUAAAAUGUGCAGGAUUAUCUCAGGGAAAAAAAUGUUUUUGUUUGGAACCCACAUAAGAAUAGCAAUUUUUCAGUACAAUAUCUAUGUAUCAAAACUUGUUACUUUUCUACUUUCAAAAAAAAAAUCAGAACGACCUGUAAAUUCCAUGGCUAUGAAGAUAAAAAUAGUUCGACCAUGGAAUGAAUGUCAGAAGUGUGCUGGUUUUUUUUAAUUAUUUUAGUAACAAUACAGAACUGCUUCUUUUUUCCAAGAAAAAUGAAGGUACAAGGUCAGCCAAAUUUAGUACUAAUAAUAGCAUGUUUGUGUCAUCAAAAAGGUACUAUAUGAUCUAGUCACAACUCACAAGUUAAAAGCAUCGUACUAUAAUCAUGCAUUCAAACAUGGAAGAUAGAAAAUGGGUCGCUACAGCAGUGUACCCAACGGCACCAGAGUAGUUUCCCUUAGUAGACACAACGACGGGUCUCGUAGUGUUUGUUGAUAUAGCCGUCCUGCUCGAUACUAAAAAGGUUGCAGAAGCCAAGCCGUCGGGAAGUAGCAGGGAGGAGAUUGAAGCAACCAACCUCAUGAGACAAAAAAAUAGAAUUAUAAGACACUUAUUUUAUUAUUGUAUGAUUUAAUAUUAUCAUACAACUCGCACACUUUCUUUCUUGUUUGUUCAAAUAAAGGAUUAUUGAAUUAUUAUAAAACAAUUUAAAAGACAAACCAGUUUAUGAGGUUGUAUUAUAAGAGACCAUCUAUGGUCUAAAAGACAACCCAGCUUAUGAUGGGCUGUAAACAACAGCCCAUGAAGUGAAGGCUGCGCCUGAGAGAGUACCGAAAUCACCCCAGUAGCAUCACCUAGGGGAGGGAAUAUACAUAGAAUGUACUAGCGCUGUCACGCGGCAUCCUUGUCAAAGUGCUAGGUAGAAAACAGUGCCCUUCAAAAGAGAGAUGUAAAUGUAACUGUGAAUGAAAUCACCUGCUGGAAUACGCAAUUCCAACAACACAGUAACAGUGUUUAGCCCUAAAUGGCGAUGACAAUUAGUAUUCAGCACUCAGUGGUCAAGUUGUCAGUCAUAUGAAUAACAGAACUCGUUUUAUGCACCGUUUACCAGAGUACUCGGAUUUCCAUCCAACUUACUCAGAGAUUGAGGUUUUUUAGAAAAAAAGUUAUCAGGAAGAGGAUAUGUUUGAGUAUUGCCUUUAAUACCCUUUAUCGCUAAUAUAAUGAUAUGGAAAGGGAUUGGGUUCUUUUUUUUUGACAACUGCAUAUAUUAUAUAUUAAGCAACCAUUUUACACAAUGUUGGAAGGGUUGGGGAGGAAGGAGCCACGCGCAGAGAGGGAGAUGGAUGGGACGAUAGUUGUUGACAAAGAAAAAUAGAUAGGGGGUUAGUGCACUGUCUUGCACACACGGUUAUACCAAAACCGUCUGUCUCAAAAAGUCAACUUAUGGUAGUGGAUAAGCCCCAGAUUUUGGCAUGCCACCUGGAACGCCCUAAGUGGAGGGCAGGGCUAGCUGGGCGUUGGUGUUGUUGCUUCCUGGCGGGACCCAAUCCUGGCACAGCCUGUUGUUGACAGUGGCAUUAGGGGUAUAUAGAAGAAAAAAAGAACAUGUUGCAAUGGGUGGGUCGGCCCGUGGAGGCAUGAAGAGUGAUAAGAUCGGAUUCGCUUGAGUGUGCCACUCGCGUCCUAGGCCAACCGGAGUUUACUUUUGUAACAACUCUUACUUCUCUUCAUGAUAUACUUCCUCUGUCUCUGAAAACUUCAAUUUCUAGAAUCUGUGUCAGUCAAACUUGUUUAACUUUGACCAACUUUAUAGAAAAGAGCAUCAAUAUGUAUAACAUAAAAUAAGUAUCUUAUGAAAAUAUAUUCAAUAAUAAAUCUAAUGGUAUUAAUUUGGUAUUAUAAAUCUUAGUGCUUUUUUCUAUAAAUUUGGUCAAAAUUUUAAAAGUUUGACUUAGGACAACUCUAUAAGUUGCAGCUUUCAGGAACUGAGGGAGUACAUUGCCAAUGCAUGGUCACGAAAAAAAGAUCAGUUGUCAUCAUAUUUAAUAAUCGCAAAAAAGUUAGGAUCAUAUAUUUAUUGAGUUCUAAACACGUGGCCUUUACAACUCUAUUAGUUCAUGAAAAGAAAAAUUUUUAGAUACUAUAGUACAUUAUAAUUAUAAUAAUUAAUAUCUAAUUAUAGAUAGAUUAAUUAGACCUUACACGACCGAAGCUUUUCAGCACACACGGCGCCAUCCGGCAACGGAGCAGAGCAUCAUCACCUACUGCCUCGUUUGCUUGAGAUGGAGUAGAUCGCACGUCUCUGCCUGAAAGUCCUCAAUGUCUUGUCCUAAAUAUUACAGAGUACUUUCUGUUAUGGACGUCAGUUUCAUCCCCUACUUGCUUCUUGUGCGGUGUCUAGCGAGAUGGCCACCGACAGUCACUUGCCACCAAAUCGACGACGACGGGUCUCAGUGUCAGUGCUCCCUGCCGAGAGCUUGUUGUGAGCCCUGUUUCGCUUUGUCACGCGAGGGAGGUGGUGACCGGCGAUCGGCGUAAGCGUAGGCUCGUAGCCAGCAAAGCCAAAAAUGUCGGCCGGCGACAUGAAGAAGACUGCGUGCGUGACCGGAGGGAACGGCUACAUCGCCUCGGCGCUCAUCAAGAUGCUGCUGGAAAAGGGCUACGCCGUCAAGACGACGGUCAGGAACCCCGGUUUGAUUCUUUGACCUUCCUUUUCAUGUACAGAGAGGGCUCUGAUUCCUUUCGUCCAGUCUUGUUUCGUGUCCGUUGUUCCUUUUCAUGUACAGAGGAUAUUGGUGAUAGUUAGCACUUGGCAGUGAUGCGUUUAGUCUGUGAAAGUGCUCUGUUGUGAUGAUUCUGAAUCGCAGAUGACAUGGAGAAGAACUCCCACCUCAAGGACCUGCAGGCGCUCGGCCACCUGGAGGUCUUCCGCGCCGACUUGGAUGAAGAUGGCAGCUUUGACGACGCCGUCGCCGGCUGCGACUACGCCUUCCUAGUCGCCGCUCCAGUGAACCUCCACACGAAGAAUCCUGAGGUGAACAAAUGUCACAGCUACUCGAGUUCCAUCUCUCGUUUGUCUAGAGUUGCUGACAGCAUCUGCUCAUACUGUUCAUCAACGUUCAUCCCUUGCUCAAUAAUUGGCGGCAGAAAGAGCUGAUCGAGCCCGCUGUCAGGGGAACUCUGAACGUCAUGCGGUCGUGCGUGAAGGCCGGGACGGUGAGGCGCGUGGUCCUGACCUCGUCGGCGGCCUCGGUCUCCAGCAGGCCGCAGCUGCAAGGCGACGGGCACGUGCUGGACGAAGACUCCUGGUCCGAUGUCGAGUACCUUAGAGCCCACAAGCCUGCAGGGCCCUGGGUACGUCGUACGACGCACGUCAGCCCUUGCAACUGUUUGGUGACGACGAGAAGUUGACAACGACGGCGCUGCUGGACGUGCUUGCUUGCAUUGCAGGCGUACCCGGUGUCCAAGGUGCUCCUGGAGAAGGAGGCGUGCAGGUUCUCGGAGGAGCAUGGCAUCAGCCUCGUCACCGUCUGCCCCGUCGCCACCGUCGGCGAGGCGCCGGCCCCGACCGUGCGCACCAGCGUCCCAAACUGCCUCUCCCUUCUAUCCGGUGAAUCAUUCUGAACUGAACUCAUGGCGCUAAACACGUUCAUCCUCUGGAUCAGAGGUUUGGUGUGGAUGAGUGACACAUGUAUAUGGUGGUCGUCGUUCUGUACCAUUUUCUUCAGGCGACGAGGCAGAGUUCGCGGUGCUGGACGCCAUCGAGAGGGCCACGGGGUGCGUGCCGCUGGUGCACGUCGACGACCUCUGCCGCGCCGAGCUGUUCGUCGCCGAGGAGGUAUCUGCCGCGGGGAGGUACAUCUGCUGCAGCAUCAACACGACCAUCGCCGAGCUCGCGCGUUUCCUCGCGGACAAGUACCCGCAGUACGACGUGAAAACGAGCCUGCUGUAAGAAAGAACCGGCUUCGCAGCUCUGGAUUCUGAUGACAUUUUUGCACCGAUGACUGACUGAUGCCGUUUGGCCGCACUUUUGCAUGCAGCUCCGGCGAGCGGCUUGAGAAGCCGAGAGUGCGUCUGUCGUCCGAGAAGCUGGUGAAGGAAGGGUUCGAGUUCAGGUACAGAACGCUGGAUGACAUGUACGACGACAUGGUCGAGUAUGGCAAGACCCUGGGAAUCCUGCCCAGCUGAUAUGAGUACGUGAUGCUCCUCUAUUUCGGCCGGCGAUCAAGACUAGGGAGUCAGAACACUCCUGCAAAACAAAGCCAAUGCUUUUGCUGCUAGUGUGCUGAACCGUAGCAGUUGAGUCAGUUCGUAUAAGACUAGAAGAAUAUCCACACGCUGCCGCAGGACUUUUCUAGAAAUAAAUUUGUUAUAUGUAUAAUUUUACUAUACGGUACCCUGGGUAUUAUGUAUGUUGCUAAGAUUUGUUUAAGAUCUUACCUUGUUAAAAAGAGGGGCACAAUUAAAUGGAUAAAGCAUGGUGAUGCAGGUACCAGUUUCUUUCAUGCCAAUGCUGCUAUUAGGCACAGAGGAAACGUGAUUACUGAGCUAAUGACAAGGGAUGGGGCUCUUGUCAGUGGUCACAGUGAGAAAGGAGCAGUUCUUUGGGUUGAUUUCAAAUUUAGACUUGGCACCUCAGAAUUCUCGGGGUUCAAUGUUGACCCAACUUUUUUCAUUCAGAGUGUUGAAUAUCUGGACUCUUUAGAAGAACCUUUCAGUUAGACAAAAAAUGACAGUAUCAUCAAAGCCUUGCCAAAUCAAAAGUGACCAGGUCCAAAUGGGUUCAAUAAUGAGUUUUUAAAGAAAUCCUGGCCAGCGAUCAAACAUGACUUCUAUGAUCUGUGUGAUUCCUUCCAUAGCAAUUCAGUUUGCUUGAGGAGCAUAAACUCUUCCUAUAUCACCCUAAUCCCCAAAGUUGAUGGUGCAAGUUCUCUUGCAAAUUUCAGGCCCCAUUUCCCUGCUCAACUCCUCAUUCAAACUUGUCACCAAGCUGGUUGCAAAUAGACUACAGCCUUUAAUAACCUCCAUAGUGCACAAGAGUCAAUAUAGUUUCAUGAAGAAUAGAACAAUCUAGGAUUGUCUGGCUUAGGCUUUUGAGUAUUUACACCUCUGUCAUCACUCAAGGAAGGAAAUAGUCAUCAUCAAGUUAGAUUUUGAGAAAGCAUUUGACAAAAUUGAGCACCAGGCCAUGCUAAUUCCGAUGGAAGAAAAGGGCUUUGGGCAGAAGUGGUUAGAUUGGAUGAAGGCCAUCAUGUCUUCAGGGACCUCUGCUGUACUCCUAAAUGGGGUACCUGGAAAAACAUUUCACUGUAAAAAGGGUGUUAGAGAGGGGGAUCCCCUCUCCCCACUCAUUUUUGUCCUUGCAGCAGAUUUUUUGCAGUCAAUAAUUAACAAGGCAUCAUUCUCUUAUGCUAGACUAUUUGGGCAACAAGGAAUGAGCUCAUUUUUAAAUUAAAUAGUCUGAAUCUGACGGGUUGUCAUAGUAUCUUCUUUAGUGAGUUGAUUAUUCGGAAGAGAAUGAAGACGAAUUAGCAAGACCAAUUAUCUUUAUGGAUUCUGAGUCUACAAUAAACUGCUGGUUGGCUCUAAUUUUCUUUGUUUCUUUUUUUUAUCUUGAACUGGUUCUCUCUCUCCCCCCCCCCCUCCCUCUUUUCCUCUCCUUUAAGAAAUCACUGUAGGGGUCACGGCCCCUCCAGAUUCGUAAAAAAAAAAAAGACCAUGGAAGAGGUGGCAAAAGUUGAUCAAAGAGUAAGUUGAACCGACUUAAAACGUCCAUAGAGGCUACAAACAAUGAGUGUCAAUCUCGCUGUCCACGUUUGCCAUUACUCAGUCACUCACUCGCCAGUUGCCAACAGCCGACACGAAGGAACCACCAGGCCCACAGCCUUUUCUCGUAGAGCAGAUCUUGUCAGUUCUUCCUGAUGAAAAUUUUGCCCAACGAGCGAGUGAAUCAUCCUCUUUGAAGCCCGCUGUGACUUGUGAGGUGGCACAGCCGACGAGAUGUCUACCGGCAACAGGAAGAAGACGGCGUGCGUGACCGGAGGGAACGGGUACAUCGCCUCCGCGCUCAUCAAGAUGCUGCUAGAGAGAGGGUACGCCGUGAAGACGACGGUCAGGAAACCCGGUUCGAUUAUUUGACCUUCCCCUUUUGUAGUGAUGUGUUUAGUCUGUGAAAGUGCUUUAUUGUGAUGAUUCUGAAUCCCAGAUGACAUGGAGAAGAACUCCCACCUUAAGGACCUGCAGACUCUUGGAUCCUUGGAGAUCUUCCGCGCCGACUUGGAUGAAGAUGGCAGCUUUGACGACGCCGUCGCCGGCUGCGACUACGCCUUCCUAGUCGCCGCUCCAGUGAACCUCCACACGAAGAAUCCUGAGGUGAACAAAUGUCACAGCUACUCGAGUUCCAUCUCUCGUUUGUCUAGAGUUGCUGACAGCAUCUGCUCAUACUGUUCAUCAACGUUCAUCCCUUGCUCAAUAAUUGGCGGCAGAAAGAGCUGAUCGAGCCCGCUGUCAGGGGAACUCUGAACGUCAUGCGGUCGUGCGUGAAGGCCGGGACGGUGAGGCGCGUGGUCCUGACCUCGUCGGCGGCCUCGGUCUCCAGCAGGCCGCAGCUGCAGGGCGACGGGCUCGUGCUGGACGAGGACUCGUGGUCCGACGUCGAGUACCUCAGAGCCCACAAGCCUGCAGGGCCCUGGGUACGUUACGACGCACGUCGAUCAUGCAGCCCUUGCUCUCCUGCAUGCUGCAUGCUGCAACCAUUUGGCAUUUGGUGACGAUGAGAAGUUGGGGACGACGGCGCUGGAUUAAUUGUGCUUGCAGGGGUACCCGGUGUCGAAGGUGCUCCUGGAGAAGGAGGCGUACAGGUUCUCGGAGGAGCAUGGCAUCAGCCUCGUCACCGUCUGCCCCGUCCUCACCGUCGGCGCCGCGCCGGCCCCGACCGUGCGCACCAGCGUCCCAAACUGCCUCUCCCUUCUAUCCGGUGAAUCAUUCUGAACUGAACUCAUGGCGCUAAACACGUUCAUCCUCUGGAUCAGAGGUUUGGUGUGGAUGAGUGACACAUGUAUAUGGUGGUCGUCGUUCUGUACCAUUUUCUUCAGGCGACGAGGCAGAGUUCGCGGUGCUGGACGCAAUCGAGAGGGACGCCGGCUGCGUGCCGCUGGUGCACGUCGACGACCUCUGCCGCGCCGAGCUGUUCGUCGCCGAGGAGGACGCCGCCGCGGGGAGGUACAUCUGCUGCAGCCUCAACACGACCAUCACCGACCUCGCACGGUUCCUCACGGACAAUUACCCGCAGUACGGCGUGAAAACGAACCUGCUGUAAGGAUCAGCUUCGCAGCUCUGACGAAAUUUUUGCACCGAUGACUGACCGAUACCGCCUGCACUUUCGCAUGCAGCUCCGGCGAGCAGCUUCAGAAGCCGAGAGUGCAUCUGUCGUCCGAGAAGCUAGUGAAGGAAGGGUUCGGGUUCAGGUACACGACGCUGGAUGACAUGUACGACGACAUGGUCGAGUAUGGCAAGGUCCUGGGAAUCCUGCCCUGCUGAUGUGGUGCUCCUCUGCUUUCGGCCGGCUGUCGGGACUUGAAGUGUCAGAACCCUCCUGCAGAACAAGUCUGUAGGAGUAUGCUACAAGUGUGCUGAACCGUAUCAGUUCAGUCAGUUUGUAUAUGCUGAGGUUAUGUACCUCUGUCACGUUAGAAGGCAAAAUAAGUGCAGUUGGUUUGAACUCUUUCGGCAAUAAUUUGUGGGUUUCAUCGUGGACAGAAAUGAUUCAAAAGUAGUUCCAUCGCUGAUGGCAUUUUCCAGAAAGAAAGAGACUUGUUCAUACCAUUAAAGCUAGUAUUUUGGCGACCAAAAAAAUUGUCAUUAUAAAUUGUGUCACGAAACAAUGUCUUUAUGCUAUGCAUUUUGUAUUUUGUACUUUUUUUGCGACAAAAUCAACUUUCUUACUCCCAUAAAGUCCUGUUGGUUUGACACCAAGCAAACAUGGUUGGCAGGCAAAGCAUUCUCUGACGUUGGAUUUUGACUACCUAGAUUCGAAUUUGCUGCCCGAGUGAGUCAGUUGUCUAGCCUUGGGUUCAGUCCAAAUAACCCUGCAUUAGAAUGAACUUUACAAUCCCAUCCUAGCACAAUAGAACCUAAUUUCGGGAAAAAAACACCGACUUACAGGGAAAGACAACACACCUAGUGCCCGUAGGCCAUACAUGCCUGCGGCCAUGUGUGUCUCACUGAAAGCGACAAAGGUGAUUACAUGUUUAACUUAGAACUAUAUCUGAUGGGUAGUAUUUUUAACCUAUACUUCUUUAAAUUAGCUCCCACGGAAACUGGAACCCAAGACUCAUAUUCUACCGAGAAAUAUAUGGUGGCGGGCGUAGGAUUUGAGGGCUGGGUAUUAAAAAAAAGAAACUUGACAACUAAAUGGCUUCAAAAAUUUUUUGACAACCAAACGGCUCAUAUUCAACAUGUAUAGUGCCAUAUAUGAUAUAUACUGUAUAAAGUUCAUGCUACCGAUGUAGUUUGGGAAUAUUUUUACGUAAUUCACCUUUGCACGAGUGUGACAGGAGGUAAUAUUUUUUGUUUUUCUUGUAUACAGUAAUACACAUAUGUAUAAAUACAAUAUCUAUAAAUCUUUUUGCCAAAAAGUUUGGGUAUUCAACUGAAUACCAAUGAACACAAAUGUGCCCGCCACUAGAAAUAUAUGAGAUAGGCAAGGAGGGACGAGGGGAUGUUUUACGGUUAUGUGACUGAUGGUCCUAUACAUAAAUAAAUACAACAGUAAACACGUCAUAUAAUAUUCAAAUUUACUCAAAUGCUGGCGCCUAAUAUUUGGUUUACAUAUGAGUCGAUGGAGAGAAAGAAGAUGGCCACGCGCAAGUGCCUGCCCCUACGCCCUACCGGAGAGCCACCGGAGAGGAAGAAGACGACAACAAUGACGGAGACAGAGACCUCAUUGGCAUUAGGGUUCUGGCAUCUCCCACUCCCACACUCUUCAUAUCUUCUUCUCCAUCUCCGACGGGCAUAGAAGGGGGGUUUGAGGGGCUCUUUCAGCGGUGGAGGCAGCCGCCCAGGUUGGGCCAGUGGAGCUCCGUGACCAGAGCUCGCCAUGGAAGGAGGGAGAGAGGAAGAAGGCGACCUCCACGGGGCUCUAGGGUUUCGAUGGAGCUUCACGGACACGAUUGUGGAGCUUCGGUGAAACCCUAGCGUGCUACGACGGGGCAGUGAGCAGCGGCGGGGGGGGGGGUGGAGGGGGGACGAGGAGGAGGAAGGCGUGGCCACUGCCGAGACAUGCGACGGUGGGGCACGCGGAGGAGGAGGACAAGGAGGAGGCCGAGGAUGACAAGGCGGUCGGGGCAAGGAUGAGGAGGGGCGCAAGGUUAAAGGUCACUAGUCGCCGAGAUAGUCCCUCUAAUAUUUCUUAUACAAACAAAAAAAACUUAAAUUAUUGUGUCGUUAGGCAUGUUGUUGGCAUUCCUAGCUGGCCGUAGCUAUCCCUAGCCAUGCCGCAACCUUGGGGAGGGAAAAGAGAGCCAGCCAUGGCAGGACAAAUGAAGGAUACAUUGACCCACUGGUACGAGGGGUUCGGCAUGUAAUGGAGACAAAGUGGACGUAUUUCUUCUUAAUCUUCUGUAACUAGAAAUCAUUUUUUUGGUUAAUUAAUCCCGUAACAAAUUUUAAGCGAAGACAGAAUGGGUAUCUGAGUCAAGUUGCUCUAAUGAGAUAUGAUUAUAAAAAAAUGUCUCUAUAAUUUUGUUUGAGCACUGAAAUGAUUUGCGAGCGUCGAUAAAGACAAGAAACACUGACUUGUGAACAUCAAUCGCGUUGUCCACGUUUGCCAAUUGCCAGCAGGCAAAAACCGACAGAAGUCAGCAGAACCUGGCCUACCGCCUUUUUCCGCACAGAAAAACAGACCCUGUCUCUUCUCUUCCUCCCUGAAAAUUCUGCUCAACGAGCGAGCGAAUCCCCUCUUUCCAGCCCGUUGUGAGGUGGCAGCCGGCGAUGUCGUCCGGCGACGGGAAGAAGAAGACGGCCUGCGUGACCGGAGGAAACGGGUACAUCGCCUCGGCGCUCAUCAAGGUGCUGCUUGAGAAACGAUACGCCGUCAAGACGACAGUCAGGAACCCCGGUUGGUCCCUCUUUUCGUUCCUGUUUCUCGGAUCAGGCGAAAUCUCCAGUGUUGUUGUGGCGAAAUUUGACAGUAAAUUAGGAAGGUUCAGGAGUCCGAAACUCCGAAUGCACCUCCAGGCUCCAGUUUUCUGAAUCAAGAUUGUAAAAUCACCUCACAUGCUUUUGGCUGUUUCAAUUCUGAAACCCCAGAUGACAUGGCGAAGAACUCCCACCUCAAGGACCUGCAGGCGCUCGGCCACCUGGAGGUCCUCCGCGCCGACCUCGACGAAGAAGGCAGCUUCGACGACGCCGUCGCCGGCUGCGACUACGCUUUCCUAGUCGCUGCUCCGGUGAACCUCAUGUCAGAGAAUCCUGAGGUACGGUUGUUCAUGGCAAAAAGAAGUCACCGUUCUGCUAAAGAUGCACGCUGCACGCACGAUUGGACUCGCCCAGCCCAAAUCUACUCGGUGAAUGGCAGAAAGAGCUGAUCGAGCCGGCAGUCCAAGGGACUCUCAACGUGCUGAGGUCGUGCGCGAAGGUGGGGGCGACGUUGAAGCGCGUGGUCCUGACCUCGUCGGCGGGCUCCGUGAUCGUCAGGCCGGAGCUGCAAGGCGACGGGCAUGUGCUCGACGAGGAGUCCUGGUCCGACGUCGAGUACCUCACCGCCAACAAGUCCGGUCUCUGGGUACGCCGUACGCGGGCAAAAACGCACACUUUCAGUUCUGCGCCGCCUUUCCAUGCUCUGAAACGCAUUGUCUGUCUGUAUCGCAGGCGUACCCGGUGUCCAAGGUGCUCGCAGAGAAGGCGGCGAGCAGGUUCGCGGAGGAGCACGGCAUCAGCCUCGUCACCGUCUGCCCCGUGGUCACCGUGGGCGCCGCGCCGGCCCGGAGCGCCCGCCCCAGCGUCCUCAACUGCCUCUCCCUUCUAUCAGGCGACGAGGCAGCGUUUGGCGCGCUGAGAGCCAUGGAGAUGUCCGGCAUGCUGGCGUUGGUCCGCGUCGAAGACCUCUGCCGCGCCGAGGUGUUUCUCGCCGAGGAGGAGGCGGCGGCCGCCGGGAGGUACCUCUGCUGCGGCCUCAACACGACCAUCCUCCAGCUCGCACGCUUCCUGUCCGAGAAGUACCCGCAGUAUACUGUGAAGACGAAUCUGCUGUAAGAAUCGGCUUCCGCCGAGCGCUCAACUCUGACACUUGCUUUGCACUGACGAACGAAUGGAUUUACGUGCUUCGUCCACUUUGCCUGCAGCGCCGGCGAGCUGCUUGAGAAGCCGAGAGUGUGCCUCUCGUCAGCGAAGCUGGUCGGAGAAGGGUUCGACUACAAGUACAAGACGCUGGAUGGGAUGUACGACGACAUGAUCAACUACGGCAAGGCCUUGAGGAUUCUGCCCGGAAAAUGACGGGCCUCACUAAUUUCUACUAACUGGAGAGUGCUUGUUUAGGAGAUCUUCCAACGAGCCAUUUUCAGACAAACAAUUUACAGCAUUCACUUUCUGUAACAUGUCCUUCUCUUCCCCUUUUUUCUUUGAACGAACAGGAGAGGUCCAAGGGGACCUCUACUGGGGAAUUUAUUCAUAACCAAAGCCCACCAUAUGUCACGUGAUCCCUUCUGGUCUCCUCUGUUCGGCGCGGGACACUGUUGGGAAAAUGCUCUUCGCACGCCCAGCAGUACAGUAGAUCGAGAACCUUCUCACUCGGUGCCGUGAGAGGCUUGAGCAGUAACGGACAGUAGGCUCAACAGUAGGUGAAUACAGUGAAUGCUCUCUCUCUAUUAAUAGCGGCAUCGCGCCCCUUAUAUAGGGCCCGGAAACCGACCCAACGACAUUUACAUAAAUGCCCCGUGACGGUGGGGGAAUAUUCCAGCAUAUUCUCUCAUCGCAGUCUACCGACCCCAAUACACUCGCGUAAUUCCACAUUGCGAACCCUUCGUUCAUCCUUUGACCGGAGCCUCAGCAGGUCGGAGGCUCGGAUCCUCCGCCUAGUUGCGGAUCCUCCGACGCUUUGGUGUCGGAGGUUCCGCAGCCUGGCUGGUCGGAGGUUGCUCGACCUGGCCACCCCGGGAGUUCCUCCUUAGCCUGGUCCAGUCGGAGGUUCCUUGGCCUGGCUGCGUUCUCCCGCCAUCCUUGGACCCGGGAGGGUCGGAGGUUCCAACCUUUCCUCGCUCGUGGACCUCCGCCGGUGUCUCAGUCCCUGCACACACACUGCACGACCAGACGAGUUGUCAACAUUAGCAUUUCCCGUCGAAGGAUAUCCUCCGACGUUUCAGGCGUCGGAGGUUCCUCAGGUGAAGGAUAACCUCCGACGCUACCAGGGGGAAGGAUGCAGCUUUUCCCCAACAGUUCCCCCCUUUUUGGGCUAAUGGCACUCCUGCGGUCCAUGUGCUCAAAAACAUGCUACGCUGCGGAGAUUAUGAGCAUGGUUGCUGCCUUCCCCCCUGGUGCGCAGGAUGUGUUUGUUAGCAGAUGUUGGAUAACUGUUUCUUUUACUUAGUCGUAAUUUUUCUUGUUUCUUUAUUUUGCCGGGAUCCUCCGAUCAUUGUUGCUAUAUUAGUCUGGUAUCCUACGCGCGUUAGACUGCGGAGGAUUGCGGAGGAUUUUAUUGCCGUUAGAGUUAGCCGUUGGCAUUGACGAAGCGCAACGGUCUGGCCGAUUCCUCCGCUUAUAGCCGUUGGGCGCGGGGAAUCGCAACGGCCGCGCGGUCGCAGGCCCCCCCCCUAUAAAAGGGGAUGCUGGGGAGCUUUGAGCUCUCACCCCUGCUGCUCAUUGCCUGCACACCUUCCUUCGCUACGUCUUUCUCUCUGAGCUGCUCGCGUGCGUUUAGUUCUAAAGUGUUGUCGGAGGUUUUACGGUGGCUCAGCUUCCUUCACCGCGUCCUUCGAGGUCAGAUUUUUCUGGUCCUUUGCGCAGUUUCCUUAGCGUGAGGUCUGGAGGUUGGUUGCGGAGGUUUGAGGAGUGGAUGCUUGAGGUGGCUGCAGCUCAAGAUCUGGAGGAGACGUUGUCUGACGUCGAAGCUUCUGUCGGUGAUUUGAUCAGUGCGAAGGAGUUUGAGGAGAUGGCGGCGAUUACUUUUGAGUUCGGGCAGUCGACUGUGAGGGCGGAGGAUAUCGCUGACAUGGUUGAGGCUAGGUUUUUCAAGGAAGGUCGUGCGGAGGCUCCUCCUGCGGGUCAGACGGUGCCUGCGCCUGAAGAGGGGUAUGCGGUGGUAUUCAGGGACUUCUUUACUUGCGGGCUUCGGAUGCCUCCGUAUCAUUUCCUUCGCGAAGUGAUGGAGAGUUUCAACGUGGAGCUGCAGCAUUUCAGCCCUAAUGGGAUACUGACCCUUAGCAAAUUUGCCUGGGCGUGCGAAUCCUACGGAGCUAUGCCCCACAUCGACACUUUCUGCUCGUACUUUGAGCUCCAGCGCCAGCCUAAAAAGGUGAAGGAUGCCGAAGGUGUUGAGUGCAUUGCGCAGUUUGGAAGCUGCGCGUUCAUGCCGCGCCGCACAAUGCCUGGGCCAAGGUGCGAGAUCUCCUACUGCCAAAAGGGGAAGUGGGAGAAGGAUUGGAUGAGAGCUUGGUUCUACGUGAGGACCCCCGCUGCGUCGAAGACUUUAGAUGACGGCAGCGUUGAUAAGGUUUAUCCUUACGCGUCGCUGAUGAAGGAGUUGAAGCCUUUCUCGAAGGUUGAUCCUUCGCAGGAGAUGUCGGAGGAGCGACUUGCUUGUGAUAAGGCGUUUGCGCUGGCAUGCCGAUAUUCCGGAGGUCGGGAUUUGGUUGAGGAGAUGGUCGCUGCUGACUACUGGCCCCUUGGCCGCAGGACCGAUGAGUUCACCAUUGAGAUGGUGCAAGUUCCUGUGUUUGGUCCUCCGGAAGGUUUGCCGUUUCCCCGGUUUGGCGCGGGUAUUCCGGAGGAUGAGACCAAGGAGUCCUUCCUUGAUCGAGUGGAGGUUUCCACUCGGAGGAUCGUCGGGAAGAUUUCGGAGAAGGAGUAUCUCCAGCGGAGGUCUGCACUGGGCACGAUGCCCCGCUUUAACCGAGUGUUUGAGGAAUUGGGGAUUGAAUAUGAGGAUUACGUUGUUCCUCCGGAUGUUUUGUUGGGGUUGGAGAAGAAGAAGGAUUCCUCCAAGGCCGUUGCUGCGGCGGAGGCUAGGAAGAGGAAGGGUGGCGGCGCUGUGAAGCAACUUGCUAAGAAGCGCAAGGCGGAGGUUGUGCUAGAGACUCCUGUGGAGUCUUCCUCCGCCCGCUCAUCUGGUGCCGAGUCGAACUCGGUAGCUUCUGCACCUGCGGAGGCCGCUGCUGCUGGUGGAGCUCCUGAAGUCGAAGCUUCGCGUGCGGUCUCCUCUGUGCGCGCGCCUUUCGCGUCUCUUCUUGGGGAGGAGUCUUCCGACGCGGAGGCCCCUGAGGCGAGCCCUGCGCGGGAGGCGAAUCCUGCAGCGUCUGAGGGUCCGCGCGUUGCUUCGGUUGGCGGAGGGUCUCCGCCUAAGGAGGUUCGGGUGGAGUCCAGCGACGAAGCUGAGUCCGCCUCCGUUCGGAGGAUCAGGAGGGCGGAGGCUCCCCUUCGUCCGGCUGGUGACGGUAUUAACUCGUUAUACAUGGGUAAUGUUUUUUUAUUGAUUAUUUUGUUUUUAUGCAAGUUUUGAUUGACUUGUUCUCAUGUUUUUGGUUUAUCUUUCAGCGGAAGUUUUUGCUGGGCUGGCUACCGCGGAGGAGAUGGCUAAAGGCGCCAGCGUUGCGCAGGAGGGGCUUGCCGUUCCUCCGCCGCGUGAGCCUGCGCCUUCUGCGUUGGCCAACAGGCCUUCGCCUGCUGAUGUUCUUGGUCCUGGUGAGUUUCCUCUUUUUUGGUUUCAACGGUUUGGUUUGUUUUUGGCAUUUUAUUCUAAGGUUUGUUUUUGUUAUGUGCAGGCGCUUCUGAACCUUCGAUCACAGGUUGGACUGAUGCCUUGCGCGAGGUUCAUUCCUUGGUCGGAGGUUAGUGUUCUGGCCUCCGCCAAUGGUUUUUUGUUUCUUACGAUGGUUUUUCUUAAUUGUAUUUGGUUUACAGAUCGUUUUCGUCAGAAGCUUCGGGGCAUGGACUUUGACACGCUCCUUCGCGUGCAAUAUGAGCACCAUAGCCUUGUAAGUUUGCGCUUUGUUGUAUCUUCCUUCGCGGUUUUUCACUCGGAGGUUUGUUGUAACUAUUUAUUUUUGAGCAGGGUCAUCACAUGGCUGCCGCCUUAGAGGAGCGUUGCUCUCGGGAGGUUAUCUGCCGUGAUGAGGCAAUUGGUGUUCUGAAGAAGGAGAACGAGACCUUGGAGGCUGAGAAGGCUCGUCUGUCGGAGGAGGUUAGGGAGUUUUCCUCCGUCAGGAGGGAGGUUGACUCCCUGAAAAAGGAGAGGGAUGACUACAAGGCUGGGUCGGAGGCUCUAAAGAAGGAGAAAGAGGAUGCCGAAGCUUCGGUGGCGGUCCUCCGCACAAGUGUUGCUGAGGCGGGGAGAGUUAGGGACGUAGCCCUGCAGCGAGCUGAGAAGGCGGAGGACAUUGCUGAACGCCUUCGCAAAGAGCUUGACGCUGAGCGGACGUCUGCAGCUGAGCUGCAGACUCGCAUACAGAAGGCGGAAGCGGAGGCUGCAGCUAUUGUCGGGCUCUAUGCCGACUCGCUUGCGAAGUUUGGGGGAAGCACCUCUGCUCCUCCGCCCGGCGGCGAUGUUGGGGCUGCCCUCGCGUGGCUAAAGUCUCAUAUCCGCAUGCUCCCCGACUUUGUCGGAGGUGCUGUUGAUUUUGGGGCUUUGGCCGCGGUUAGCUCCUUCGCUAGGCUUUUGCGCCGCGGAGGUUGCUCUCACGCGGAGGGAGUCGCCAAGGAGGAUUUUGCCGCGGCGGAGGACGUUGGCGAAGGGACCCCUUCCCUGCGCAAAUCUGUCCGGAACUUUAUCAGUUCGUUCUGGAUUAGGUUUGGGCGGGAUGAGGCGAAGAAAAUGACGGAGGAUCGUCGAGCUGAGGUUUGUAUUAUUUGGUUAUUUCUUUUUUGUACUUUGCUUCGCCGCUUUGCAAUGUUAAUUAAGAUGGGUAUUUUGUAGGAGAUUGCGAAGAAGAAGGCUAAGGUUGUCAAGGCCGGUCCUUCGCGUCCACCGAGUGAGUCGUGUCCUCCGACCCAGCCUGAAGCGGAGGCUCGUGAUACUGGUGCCAAAGCUCCGGAGGGAUCUGGUGCCAAGGUUUCAGAGACUCCCGAGGCUCCUGCUCCUCCUCCGCCUCAGGUGUGAGGCUUUUUAGUUUUUAGGUUUUUUCUUAGUCUUUUUUGCGUCCAAGCAUGUGACGCUUUUUUUGUAAGUAAGGUCGGAGGUUGUGUUUUAUUUUGUAAAGAAUGUUGAAAAUAUAAUAUAUUGAGUUGUUUUCAGAUAAGCCUUUGUUUUACACUUUGAUCCUGCGCAGGUCUCUGGCGGAGGACCUGCGCAGGAUCGUUUCAUUACUCCCCUUUCGUUUUUUUACAAAGGGAUUUAUGUUUCUGGUGAAUUGUGGGAGUAUUGGCAAGUUGCCUUCCCUAAUAUGAGAUUGGUGGAUAUGUUCGAGUUUGUUGGAUAUGAUAUUGAUGGCGAAGGAUCUGGAUUUAUCCAAUCGCUUGCGCGCCGAGGUUCAUGGCCUCCGGCUUAGGUGGAUGAUUUUGUUUUUCUUUUCGUUUAUCGUAGGUUUUGGUUAUAUUUUUUAUGACAUGAUUUGAUGUGUUUAUGUAGUUGCCAUAUCCUAUCCUUCGCAUCUUUGGUGAGAGAGAUAGGGUACGCUGGGUGGCGGAGGCUUCUGAGGAUGUUGCUGAGCCUUUUCUUCAAGGUUUUCCGGAGGUUCGAAAGCUUCGUUUGGCUUUUUAGUUUUAUCCUUCGUUUUUGUUGGAUUUGAAGUUGUUAUUUUCUGCGCGCAGGUUGUGAAUUCCUCUCCGUUGGAAGAUCUUCCUUCGAACUUUGUCGAAAGAAGUUACGUUACCCCGGUGACGUUCAAGCGUGGAGAUUUGUACGCGAGGGGUUAUCUAAUUGACUGGUGGCGCCACAAGUAUCCUACGCGUAGUAUAGAUGACUUAGUUGAUUUCCUUGUUCGUGAUUACUGUGAUGAUCUUAGGCUUUUUCCAGAUUCGUAUGUUAGAAUUGUGCGAGGGUCUUAGAACCUUCGGCGUUUUACGGUCGGAGGAUGUUUCUCAUUUUUUGUUGUAAGCUUGUGUUAUGUACAUUGUAUACGGUUAAUAAAGAUCAUACAUUUUUACUACAUGGUCUUCGCGCCUUUUAAUUUUGACAACCUUCGCGCUUAUAAUUUGUAUGUGACUCAUAGAUCCUUCGGUUGUUUAGUUGAAGGAGGAUUUUUAAGUUGAACUUGUACAAGCUAUCUGUAACCUUCGACUUGUUCUGGGUCGAAGGAUGAUUUUAUUCAUUUUAUGUAAACGAACUUUUGUAAUGUUUUCUUCAUUGAUAAUAAAGUUUUUAAGUUUGCUACAACCUUCGAUCUCAUUUUUAUUACAACCUUCGCGCUACAGCACUUAUAUAUUGCAACGUUACGGUGGUGUUGAUCCUAAGGAUCUUUGUGUUGCUGUGGCUUGCUUGUUCUUGAUGCCUGAAGCUGCGAAGGAGUUGUUGAUUUUCUAUUUCGCGGAGGAUCGUCGCUUCUUGGCCUUAGAACCUUCGACUUUUUUGGCGCGGAGGAUCCUUCGCCGAAUUGUGCUAUUUUUUUCCUUUGCUCGACUCCCGUGGAGUGUUGUCGAGGAGAACCUUCGGCUGUUUAAGUCGGAGGUUCUGAAGGGAUGUUACGAGACUUCGUGCGAUACCCUUCAGAGACCUCUGAGUCUGACUUCCAUUGUUUCUGUUGUGGCUGUUCACGACUUUGUGGUCGAUGUUCAUCACAACGCCGUAGUUCUAGUGUUACGAAGCUUCGUGCGAUACAAACUUUUGUUGCUGUUGUGAGGCUAACUCCUGCUUCCAUGGUGGCCUAGGGUUUUUGAUUUUUGACUGCUAGGUUUGCACUCGAUGAUCGGGUCUUUGUAUACUGAUCCUGAUUGAGGGUGGGGGGCAGGUUUAGUCUGGUUUUAUAGGCUUUCGUGCAUUUAUUUUAUGUACUUAGUUAGGUUAAAAUUUAUUGUCGGGUUAUUGAUGGUUGUUGUUGUAGUUGGUUUUGCUGUACCUGACUGAGGGUUAUUGUGGUUUCGUUUUAAUUUCACACUUUGUUUGUUGUGGGUCUGCUUAGAGUAGCAGGAUACCUUCGACCUUAUUUUGGUGAAGGUUAUGUGAAUUUUGUUGAGGUCUGUCUUGUGAAUGUUAAACCUCCGCUGCCUUUUGGCAAAAAUAAUAUAGUUCCUGAUGCCUGAUUUUCCUCAGGUCUUUGUCAGGUUUGAAGGUUUUGUUCCUUCUGGCCAUGUUGUGAUGCCUGAGGAGGACAGGACUUUUUCACUUUUUGGCCAUGUUAUCCUUGCUGCCCGGCUCUUGGCUAGGUCUUUUGCUAAGGAUUUGGUGUUUUUUCACCUUUGAGGACGUUCCGAGCUUUCUUAUCUUUUGGAUGAAAGCUGCGGGGGGUCCUUGUGAUCACGUGAUGUUUUGUCGAAUGCUACAGCCUCGUUGCUGGCUGUUUUUCGACUUUUUGGACUUUGGUUCUGGGGUGGAUUCCUCUUUAUAUUUCAGAGGUUUUACAUAGGUUCUGCCUCGUUAAAAACCUCACCUCCUGGUAGGAGUACCCCUGUGAGGAAAAGAGUGCAGACCUUGGAAUGCGAAAAAGUAGAGAAAAAGAAAACAAGCGUAUUUAGGGAUGUGGAUGCCGCCGCUUAUUUUGCAGGGGUCAUCCUUACACUCAAAUGUAAAAUCUACGUAGGUUGUCGAUAUUCCACGUGUGGGUGGAGGUUCUACCUUCGAGGUCUUUCAGGUAGAAGGAUCCCGACCUGCCCGCUUGUAUUGCUGUGUAAGGUCCUUCCCACUUGGGUUGCAAUUUACCAGCGUUUGGGUGAUCUCCUUUUUUCCUGAGCACCAGGUCCCCAUUUUGUAUGUCUUUUCGUACUACCUUGCGGUCUCUCCAAUUCUUGGUUUCUUGUUGAUACCUGGUAAUGUUCUCCACUGCCUCAAGUCUUAUUGAUUCUAAGGUUUCCUUGCAGUACUCUUCAUCUUCAGCCAACUGCUGCUUCAUGGAACGCAGGCUUUGAUGCUUGAUUUCUUCGGGCAACAUUGCCUCUUCCCCAUACAAGAGCUUGAAUGGAGUGAACCCAGUUGUUCUUGAAACUGUUGUGUUAUGUGACCAUACAACUCUUGGUAGUUCUUCAACCCAUUUCCCCUUGCGUAGGUUGAGUAAGGUCUUGGAGAUUGCGGAGAAUAUUGUUCUGUUUGCUCUCUCCACGGCCCCGUUUGACUCUGGGUGAUAAACAGAUGCGAAAGCAAUUUUGGUUCCUAUGUGAUGGCAGAAUUCCUUGAAACUGUCUGAAUCGAACUGCUUCCCGUUGUCAACUGUGAGCAAGCGUGGAACUCCGAAUCUGCAGACUAUGUUCUGCCAGAAAAAUUUUCUGAUUGUUUCAGAGGUUAUGGUUGCCAGUGGCUUAGCUUCGAUCCAUCUUUUGAAGUAUUCGAUGGCCACGACGGCGAAUUUGUUUCCCCCCUGGGCAGUUGGCAUUGGUCCUACCAGGUCCAUUCCCCAUCUCUGCAACGGCCAUGAUGCUGGUGUGAGCUGAGUUAGUGCUGAAGGUCCUGACUGAAUUGGUGAGAAGGUUUGGCAGGCUUUGCAUGUCUUCACUAUUUCUUCAGCAUCUUUAAUGUGAGUUGGCCAGUAGAAGCCUUGUCUUAAUGCUUUAGCAGACAAUGCGCGAGGUCCGAUGUGAGACCCGCACAUCCCGGAGUGUAUCUCUUGUAGGAGUUCUCUGCCCUCGCUUUGUGAUAUGCACCUCAGCAAAGGUUGGACUAUGCCUUUCUUGUACAGGGUCCCGUCAAUGAAGGUGUAAUUCCUUGCUCUUGCCUCCAUCCUCUUGGCUGUUGCUUCGUCAUCUACAGCUGUCUCGCCUUUGAGGCAAUCAGCUAUUGCCUGCCUCCAAUCCUCGCUUUCUGUCAGCAGGACUGAGCGAAAGGCUUUUGGCAACGAUUCGGUUGCGGGUGUUGCAACAAUCUGGUGGAAGGUUCCUUCUGGCAAGGGGGUGUUGUUGGCUGCUGCUUUGGCUAGCUCGUCUGCCUCGUAGUUUUCGGCUCUUGGAAUGUAAUGCAGAGUGAAUCCCUUGAACCUUCUCUCCAGACCUCUUACGACGGCCAGGUAUCUUGCCAGCUCCGGGUUGUGUGCUAGGUAUUCCUUCUCCACUUGCCCUGCCACCACCUGGGAGUCUGUUUUGAUGAGUAGGGUUUUUGCUCCCGAAGCCUUAGCUUUGUUCAGCCCGAGGAUGAGACCUUCAUACUCGGCUAUGUUGUUUGUUGCUUUGAAUUCGAGCCGUACAGCGAACUUUAGUUUGAGUCCAGACGGUGUGAUUAGGACGGCUGCUGCUCCUGCUCCCGCUUGGCCCCAGGCGCCAUCUGUAUACAGCGUCCACGGCUGAUCGACUACCUUCUCCUCGUUUUUGUCCGAAGGUGUCCAAUCUGCCAUGAAGUCAGCCAGGGCUUGAGAUUUGAUGGAGGUUCUGGGGACAUAGGUGAUAUCAAACUGUGAUAGUUCGGCCGCCCAUUUUCCUAUACGUCCGGAAGCCUCUUUGUUCCUAAGGAUAUCACCCAAUGGCUGUGAAGUGGGCACUUUAAUCUCAUGGCUUUGGAAGUAAUGCUUGAGCUUCCUUGAUGCACACAGGACCGCGUACGCGAUUUUUUCUAUCUCCGUGUAGUUCAGUUUUGCUCCUGACAGAGCUUCGGAUACGUAGUAAACGGGUCUUUGCAUCGUUCCCUUAGUACCGCUUGUCUCGUGCACUAGAACACCGCUGACAGCGUGCUCGGAGGCAGCCACAUACAGUAGUAGUGGAGUGUCUGGCUCGGGCACUGUUACCACCAGGUUGGUUGCAAUGUAAUUCUUGAGUUGCCUGAAGGCCUCUGAUUGUUCCGGACCCCAUUCUGUUUUACCUUCUCCUCUCAGCACUUUGAAGAAUGGGAGGCUCCGUUCUGCCGAUCUUGAUAUGAAUCUGUUGAGGGCUGCUAUUCGGCCGGUCAGUCUUUGCACUUCUUUCUUGUUUGAAGGUUCUGCCAUUGACAUGAUUGCUUUUGUCUUGUCUGGGUUAGCUCUAAUUCCUUCGGAGCUGAUGAUAUACCCCAGCAUUUUUCCCUUGCUGACCCCAAAUACACACUUCUCCGGGUUGAGUUUCAGCCCGGCAGAUCUAAGGUUGACGAAGGUUUCCUGCAGGUCCUUGAUAUGAUCUUCCUUGCGCUUGCUCAUGACGACAACAUCGUCGACGUAGGCUAUGAUGUUCCUCUGUAGCUGACUUCCUAGAACCUUCCCCAUCAUUCUGGAGAAGGUUGCUCCAGCGUUUUUGAGACCUUCUGGCAUUCUGGUGUAGCAAUACGUGCCGAAUGGGGUCGUGAAGCUUGCCUUUCCUUCGUCUUCUUUUUUGAGCCAAAUUUGGUGGUAACCAGAGAAACAGUCCAGCAGUGAGAAUCUCUGACAACCAGCUGCUUUGUCCACAGAGGUAUCUAUCCUUGGCAAGGGGAAGGAGUCUUUGACACAAGCCUUGUUGAGAUCUGUAAAAUCUAUGCACAUUCUCAUUUUGCCAUUUUUCUUGGGGACCAAGACCACAUUUGCCAACCAUUCCGGGUAUAUGACUUCUCUGAUGACCUUUGCGUCCAGGAGUCUUUGUACUUCUGCCUUCGCGGCUAAGGUUCUUUCUUCAGACAUUUUCCUCUGUCUCUGCUUCUUCGGCCUCAUUCUCGGAUCGAUGUCCAGCGAGUGCUCUAUUAUGUCUCUGCUGACUCCUUGUAGGUCAGCGGCACUCCAAGCGAAGAUAUCUUGGUUCUUUUGCAAUACGUCUAGCAAUUCGAGUUCCUCCUCUCUACCAAGGGUGGCGGAGAUGGUGACCUUCUUAUCUGGAACAGCUUCCUGCAGAGGGAUACACUUCGUUUCCUCCUGAUCAGCCAGGUCUGUUUUCCCCCUUGGCAUGUCUGGCGGCUGGGAAGCUUCAUGCUGCGUAGAGUCUACGGAGUUUAUGUUCCGGAAGGAUUUGUAGAUUGCUUUUUCUAUGUUCCUUGCCUCCUUUUGACUUCCGUGAACCGUUAUCACUCCGUGCAGAGCCGGGAUUUUCAUGCACAGGUAUCCCAUAUGAGCGGCUGCAUUGAACUUGUUCAAGAAUCCUCGCCCGAAUAUGGCAUUAUAUGGGUAGUGCAAGUCUACCACAUCGAAGGUGACGUACUCUGUUCUUGCGUUCUCUGUUGUGCCGAAGGAUACGGGCAAGGCGACCUUUCCCAGAGCAUGUAUCUGCUUUCCUCCGAACCCGAUUAAAGGUGACUCCGAAGGUUGGAGUUGGCUUCUGCUGAGCUUCAUUUGGUCGAAGGUUCCAGCAAAUAUUAUGUCUGCGGAACUCCCUGAAUCCACUAAGAUCCUGCUUACUCCCCAACCCGCAACAUUUGUUGUUAUGACCAAGGCGUCUGUGUGAGGGUAGCUUUCCAAUCUUAGGUCUUCCUCGGUGAAGGUUAUUGGGGUUCUGGACCAAUCAGUGCAUCUCACUGGCCCUUGAACUGCAACGUUGUUGACGAGCCUGAGGUGAUCCUUCUUCUGUUUCUUUGUCUGGAACUCCAUUGAGGACCCCCCAGCUAUUGGUAAGAUCAUUCCAAUUGUGGGCAGGGGUGUAUGAGGGCCGAUCUGGUUAUCAGGGUGGGGUUCGGUUUUUGGUGGUGGUGGGGCUUGGAGUAGCUGUAGCUGGUUUGGGGGAGGAGGUAGUGACUGCUGGUGGGGUUGCGGGGUUUCGAUGUACGUGAUAUGUGGAGGUCGUGGAGGAACAUAGUUUGGUGGAAGGUUGUGGUCCGCGGUUUGCUGGGCUGGGCGCCAAGCUGGUAGGAAGCUGGGAUAGUAAGCGGAGGCUAGCGCGCUGGGCUGAAGUGGAGCUGAGUGCUGCUGGCUUGAACCUCCGACAUAUGAAUGGUAGAAGGUUUGAGGGAACGUGUGGUUUACUUCCCGAGGCUGAGCAACUGGUACCGGAGGUUGCGGAGCCGACCUGCUCUUGAUCCUCUCCUGAGUUUCUUUUGCAUCUGGGCAAUCUCUGGUGGAGUGACCCUUCUCUUCUCCAUGGAAGAAACAAUACUGUUUCCGUGGUCGCUGACUCUGAUUUUUUCGCCAUCCCGCAUUUCGACCCCCUCUUCCGGCUUGAUUGGGUAUGCGUUCCGAGCUCCGCGCUUCCACUGGUGGACGGUUAUUUUCCGGCCUGUCAUUUUUCGGUUGCUCGAUAUUCAUCAUCUGUCCGCCGGCCUCUCGCUGUGGCCGGCGUUCAUCCUGGCUGAGGUUCUUCUUCUGUGAAUUUCUGUCAUUGCCCUGCCUCUUCUGAGAGUUUUGGUCUUCCAACCUUUUGCGGUAGUCGUUGUCUGACCUGCAAUACUUCUCAAACUCGUGGUACAGCUCGUGCAUGGAUGCCGGCUUUUCUCUGGCCAAAUGAGCCGCAAAGGGUCCUAUGCGAAGACCCUUGAUGGCCGCUUCGAUGGCAACCUCCUCUGGCACACCGGGUGCUCUCGCCUUAGUCUGCACGAACCUCUGGAAGUACUCCCGCAGUGCCUCUCCCUGAUUCUGGCGACACUGGAACAGGUCCGUGGAGGUUAGUGAUUCAACCGCGAAUCCCUGGAAAUUCGCUAAAAUCUUGUCUCGAAGGUUCUCCCACGAAUAGAUCGACCCGGGUCUGAGCAUCGAGUACCACGCUAAGGCAUCUCCCUCGGCUGCGAUCACGAAGGAUUUUGCCAUCACAGUCUCGUUCCCUCCAGCUGAGGCCACGGCUGCCUCGAAGCUCAUCAGGAAUUGGCGCGGAUCGGCCUUUCCGCUGAAUUUAGGGAGUGUGAUUGGUUUGUAGGUUGUUGGCCAAGGCGAGGUCUGCAAUCCUUCGGACAGAGGGGAGCGAAGGUCCAACGUGCCCCGCAGCAUGCCGCCGUGGUUCGUCGGUUGCACAUCUAAUGUUGGGCCGGCGCUGUUCAGAACAGCGGGCUGAAUUGUCGGCUGAGCUGGAGGUUGCAUGCUAAGGAUUUCUGCCUGCAGGAGUGAAAGCUGCUGCCUGAUCUCAGCCGCUUGCGUCGCGGCUACCGCUGCCUCUUGGCUGGCGGCGUAGGCAGCAGCGAUCCGGUCUCGCUCUUGCUGAAGGUUCCGCAAUUGCGCUUGAAGCUGCUGGAGCUCUUGCGUGGCCGAGGGCUGCGCUGGGUCUGCGGCGGGAGGAGGUUCCUGGCGUGUUUCCGGCUGCUCGUUCUCUGGCUGCUCGCCCUCAGAACCUUCUCCCUCCACGGUCGCGUACGUGCUCCGCACGGCCCUCCUUGGCCUUCCUCUCCUGGAGGGCUCUCCCCGAGGUCUUGUGGUGCUUGUUCUCUUUCCAGCCAUCGCAGGUUAUACUCCGGGCCCCACGGUGGGCGCCAAUGUUGGGAAAAUGCUCUUCGCACGCCCAGCAGUACAGUAGAUCGAGAACCUUCUCACUCGGUGCCGUGAGAGGCUUGAGCAGUAACGGACAGUAGGCUCAACAGUAGGUGAAUACAGUGAAUGCUCUCUCUCUAUUAAUAGCGGCAUCGCGCCCCUUAUAUAGGGCCCGGAAACCGACCCAACGACAUUUACAUAAAUGCCCCGUGACGGUGGGGGAAUAUUCCAGCAUAUUCUCUCAUCGCAGUCUACCGACCCCAAUACACUCGCGUAAUUCCACAUUGCGAACCCUUCGUUCAUCCUUUGACUGGAGCCUCAGCAGGUCGGAGGCUCGGAUCCUCCGCCUAGUUGCGGAUCCUCCGACGCUUUGGUGUCGGAGGUUCCGCAGCCUGGCUGGUCGGAGGUUGCUCGACCUGGCCACCCCGGGAGUUCCUCCUUAGCCUGGUCCAGUCGGAGGUUCCUUGGCCUGGCUGCGUUCUCCCGCCAUCCUUGGACCCGGGAGGGUCGGAGGUUCCAACCUUUCCUCGCUCGUGGACCUCCGCCGGUGUCUCAGUCCCUGCACACACACUGCACGACCAGACGAGUUGUCAACAUUAGCAUUUCCCGUCGAAGGAUAUCCUCCGACGUUUCAGGCGUCGGAGGUUCCUCAGGUGAAGGAUAACCUCCGACGCUACCAGGAGGAAGGAUGCAGCUUUUCCCCAACAGACACAAGCAGUUCUUGGCUCAAGCACCCUGCUUUGGUGUCUCUAUCGUGGUUGCCAUUGCCAUUGUUUUCUUUUCAUGGUCCUAGUAAUGGAGGAGAAAAGGUCUCCCUCCUGAAUGUUUUUUCGACGGAGGAGAAUCCAGCUUUUAUAGAAAGCGCAUGUGCAGUCUCCCUACUGAUUCAUUUCGUUGGAUUGGAGAUCGUUAGAUCAAUUACAUAAAUCACUUCUCUUUUCAAACGCCUGUUUUCAUUUCUUCGGACAACAUGAGGUUUUAUCAUUGUUUGAGCCUCAUCAGGAUUAGAACAACCGAGAAAAAAACACUGUUGUCUACAUACUCUGCAUUAGUACAUUUUAUUUAGACUUCAGGGCCGAUGUAGUGUAGUAGCAGGGUUUAAAAGGCAUUAGUGCAUUGCGAUCAGCGAUCGGAAACUGAAACAGUAGGAAAAUACUGUCGGUGUCAGCAAGUCACAGUGACCCAUGCGUACAGUACACAGUUUCAAAUGGACAAAAGCAUAGGAUUACAGCACACAAGAUGAUUAUCCGAACGAUACGUUCAGCACCAAAUUAGUUCCAUUCUUGUAGAGUCGAUCGGUUGGAGUUGAUCGUCACACUCUGCUGAAAUCCUGAAACUGAAAGCCUCGUGCAGCACAAAGCACAAUGAUACUGGAUCCAAAUCCAAUCCAACAAGGGCAAGCCCCUUGAUGGGAUUUCUCUUGGCGAAAAAGGGCCCGUGCCUGCAUGCACGUUCCCUGAAGGGCCGCACUAGUCUCGAGCUGUCCAACUCGUACAUGGGCCGCGACGCUUCGACACCAUUUAGCUGACCUAAUGGAAACUCACCAGUCACCUCUUUCUCAAAAAAAAAAAAAAAAGAAAAGGUAAUGGAGACUCACCUUUUAUUAACCUAGCCUUCAGGUAUGCGUACUAGUCCUAGGUGCUCCAUGAUUCAAAAAAAAAGGUGCAAUUCUCAUUUCAAUCCAAGUCAAAAAAUUUUUUUGAUUAAGUGUAGAAAGUAGAGUGCCUUUGAAUAAGAUUUAUUAUGAAAAUAUAUUCUACUAUUAAUUUGAUGAUGAUUAUUCUUAUCAUAAAUGUUAACAUUUGCUUUAUAGAUUCAACUAAAUUUAAAAUUGUUUAACUCUUUAAAUUGAGAGUUGCACUUUUUUUUGGGAAAAAUGGAUUGAAUACUUAUUACCGGUACGUGUGAAUAAAAAAUAUGCAUGAGAAAUAAAAAAUGUAGUUAGUUACUAUAUAUAACAUAAACCAACAUGCUACGCAAAAGCAAAAAGGAACAUACAUAUACAAAGUUAGUAGUGCAACUAAUGGAAAUAACAUAUAUGUGAAAUAGUUGUGUCCAUCAUUAAUGAGAAUUUAUUCUACUAGCAAAUGUGUUUGUACAUUGCACCGGAUCUAAUAUAUCUUAGAACUGAACUCGCUAGACAAUUUUUUUAGUGGUGUUUUUUUAUCUUUUAGUUGCUGUUGUGUUUGGACUCUUUUUAUUAUCGGUGAAAUAUAUGUGAUAAACCAAAGGAACAAUAUAACUAGGAAGGUUGUGUUAUCCACUAAAUACAUGCAUGUUCUAGUAACUCUAAACAUCAAUUUGUAUUCCAUUAUAUUUGUAGCACAUUGCGGCAUUCAUUUGUUCACCUUCAGGUGUAGGUUUUUUUAUUAGCAACUAAGAUUAUAUUUGGAUCAGCUAGAGCUAAUAGGCAAUUUCUAAGAAAUAGCUAAUCCAAACCCUGACUGAACUACUCAACCAUCCAAUGAUCCAACUAAUAAAAAAGUUAUUACCUGGCAUCCCCAAUUAAUGCAACUAAUUAUUAUUAGCUGGGAGGACACAUGAUGGUAGACUGGUAGUUUUUCUAAUUGAUUGGAGAAGGGGGCAGACAAUACUAGCAUCAAUAUAAACUAGCACGAUAUGUCAUUUAUUGACACAUUACAUGAAUCACACAAAUUAUCAAAAUGAUAUAGUUAAUAUACUUCAAGGGCGAAACAAGAAGUUUAGACACAUAUAAAUCUUACUUAAUCCAUGGGGGCAUCUCCUAUGAAGGAGCAUAUAAUUGCACAUUUGCACAAUGUGGCUCCACCAUGUGUGAUGUAAGGUUGAGCUAGAAUAGAAAGCACCUAGAGCUUUAUAUUUUUGUAUAAAUAUUAGCUCAACAUGAGUGUGAAAGUGAAUGUGGCUUUGGUACUGCUAGCUAUUGGCAUAGAUUAGUGCCAAAAAAUAGAAAAUAUAUGAAUAAACAUAUCUAGAGCUCACAAAGCACAUGCAUAUACAAGAGUUGGGGUCUUGAGAACUUAAUUACCUCAGCAUUGAGUGUCACCAACUUCAAGAUGCAUAUCGAUGUUGAGUAUCACCAAGAGUUCCCCCAAACACUUCAUAUUACACCUAAUCUUAAAUAGAGUUAUUUAAUGGUGCCUCAUGAAGUGCUUGAAGGGAACUCGUGGUAACACCAAACAUUGUUCAAUGUUGUAUCGCACAUGAUAUUCAUGUGGACAUCAUAUAUUACUAUAACUAAAUGCUUCAUGAUACCAAGAGUUCCCCCAAACACUUCACAAACAACCCUUUAUUAAGCCAAGGUCUCGUGAAGUGCUUGUAGGGAACUCCUAGUAACACAAAACGCUUCUCUGGCCUUCAACUCAUAUCACAUGGCACAUGACCAACAUCUAGUAGAUGCAAAUGAUUUGUGACACCAAAAGUUCCCCCAAACACUUCACAAAAAGCUCUCACAAUGACGAUGCCUUGUGAAGUGCUUGCAGAGAACUUUUGGGGACACCAAACCUAUUUUUUUCAAAAAACAUGGCCCGUCCUUAAGUCAUCUCAUGUGGCCUGCAGUUGAUCAACAUCUGACAAAUGAUCAGUGGCACCAAGAGUUCCCCCAAACACUUCACAAAAGCUCUAAAAAAGUGCUUUGUGAAGUGUUUGCAGAGAACUCCUGGGGACACCAAACUUGAUAUAUAAUUUCCAAAUGUGAUUUGUCUUCAAAUCAUUUCAUGUAGCACACACUUGGCUCAUGUAGCACACACUUGGCCAACCUCUAGCAAAUGGUUAGUGGCAUCAAGAGUUCCCCCAAACACUUCACAAAAGCUCUCAAAAUAGUGCCUCGUGAAGUGCUUGCAGAGAACUCCCGGGGACACCAAACCUAAUAGUUUCCUCCCACUGUCUUAUAUCAUAUGCUGGUCGAUCUAGUACAAUAAUCUCCAAAGUACAUGCUGCACUUAGAAAAAAAAGGUGCAUGCUGCACUAGGAGACCUGUAGCUAGCUAGCACAAAUUGCUGCUUGCCACCUAGAGUUCCCCCAAAUACUUCACUAUGUACACACACAGCUCCACACAAACAUGCAAACACAGUGCAUUAAACUUGGUGUGUGUAGCUACUACUGAAGUAGUUUGUGGAGAACUCCAGGUGACAACCAACCGACUCUUGCUACAUUUCCCGUGGACCACUUCACUUGUUUAAUCCGCCGCUGAUGACGAGAGCUCUCAGAGCUGGCUCCUAUUUAUAAGUCGAUCUAGACCAAAGAGUUAAGCAAGCUAGCUAGCUGACGCCGCCCCUGUGAGCAUUGUACGUGGUUCUUGGUCUUGGAGUGAAUGGAGCGGAGGAUGCACCUAGCCGUGAUGCAGCCUAGGUUAACCAGCAGGAGCCAAAGGGAAUCCAGCGAGACCUUUGCUCGGCACUCAGUAGCUCAGCGUGUACGAGUUUGGAAUCGGAGAAAGCACAUGGAGCUAGCCAAAAGCGCCCAGAAAACUGCAAAUUCCCUUAUCUCCAGCAGAUCGAGCGCUAGCUGAUGUGCCGUUGUCGUUCGGUUUCUGGCCACACGCAAAUUUCUCUCAGCUUAACGACAUGUAGAUCUCGGUUUUUCUUUUGAAAGUUUUCAUGUACGUAGUUAGCUGAACUUUCAUAAACACACUGACAUAUGCAUGAAGUUAUGCAUGCUGGUACAAAAGAUGGGUUCCAGUCAUAUUUUGUGAUGUGACUCUUUAUAUGAUUCAUCAGCAGGUGCAUGCAUUUAGGUAUUUAUACACAAAUGAUAUUUAGUUCUCUGGCUAUGGGACAUUGCUUAUACCUUGACGAAGACGUUAGCAAGUUCAGUUAUAAAUGCCAGAAGAGAAAUCCAUUACUUACAUGCAUGUAGUUUCCUUUUGUGGUUAAUCUAGGUUUAACAGAUAGAGUCCAAAGUAAACGUACGUGCCGAGAUUCUUAGUGAGAGCAUGAGCUGUCAAUUUUGAAUUGGGGAUAUCAUAUCUUAUAGGAUCGGAGUACUAGUAGCAUAUUGUCAGGCAUGAUGCAUGGUGUUCCCUAGCGGCCUGUUGUCCUGCAUGGUGCAUGUCGGUGCAGCUUACAUGUUCACCAAUAUUAAAUACACGACGACGACAGCAAUCAUACAGAAGGGCACUCACAAUGCAGACUCUAUCAUGGAGUCUAAAGUUAUUUAUUACCUCGAACAAUGUGGACUUGGAGUCUAAAUAAGACUUGGAGUCUUAGUUUUUCUACCUCUUUCUUCAAUAAAUAUGGUGCCACAUCAGCAAAAUAUCAUAAAUAAUAUGUAAUUAGUUGUCUUGGACUCUGUGAUAGAGUCUUGCAUUGUGAGUGCCCUAAACAACUGCAAAACACACUACCUAAUCCUGUAGUACAUCCUGCUAGUAUAAAAUUAAUGUGCCCAAACCCAGUUGUUGUGGCUUUGUGCGUGACUGCUGAAUGGGCAUGCAGCAUAAAGUCAGCAAAAAAAAAAAGCUAUGACGGGACGACACCGAGAGAAUCAAUAUUCCCAAAUCCCAAAAGGCCAAAAACCAUACUCCUGGUUUUUAGCCUUUUAGUUCACGCCCAAACGCAAAAGAGAGGGCGGGGCGUCCAGGUUCAAUGCAUGUACACACGAUCCCUCUCGCUUCCUCUGCAGUGUGACCAGACCUGUGACCUGUCGCUGCAAUGCAGGUCAUCUCUUUCAAAACCCACACGACAUCCAUGUUUCAAAGCCACCAGGUCCAAAUUCCAGCAGCUCUGAGCUGUAGAAAAACAGCUUUGGGGCAAUGGAGAAGAGGGGUAUUUGUAGUAUAAGUACCUAAGCAGCUAAUAGCUGAAGAUGCAUCGAGGACUGUUCUCUUCUUCCUCAAGCCGUAGCCUGUGGGAGGAGAGGCCGGAAACCUCGCAUGGAGUUCCCCCAUUCACUUCUUGGUCCCCUGUUCGUUCCCUCAGGUAGAGAGGAUCUUGCUUUUUGUUCUGAUUUCUUCCUCGUGUAAGCUCGCAUGCGUGGGAAGAUGGAUUUGUCUCUGAUCGUCCUCACGCCUCUUGUGUUUUGAUUUGGAUCAAUGCAAAUAAAUCAUCGAUGAGUGACGGUCGUGUAAGCUCGCAUGCGUGGGAAGCUGCAUGUGUUUCUUGAAGUUCUGAACUUCGCUAGCUAUUUGAUCAGCAAUUCUUGUCUACUGUAUGUAUAUGAUUGUGAUCCAUCGCCUGUAUAAAUGCAAAUAUUGCGACUUCUACUUCCAGUUCAUGGGUUCCAAAGUUUUCUUGAUGCUGAUAUCGAAAGAUACACUCAUGUUGUCUUGUUUUUUAAGUACAAAACUUGGAUCCUGCUUUUUGUUUCAAUGCCGACUUGUAGAUGUGGACCGAAUUAUUUUAGAACACGCAUUAGAACAAAGACUAACUAUCCAAGCUGUAAAAUUUCUAUGAUUUUUUCCAAUAUAAUGCAAGCUAGCUCCGGUAGCUACUAUGGUUAUGGCAAACAGAACACGGCACAUCUGAUCAAAGAUCCAAAGCACCGUACAGGCACGGUUUCCUAACAUAAUCUAUAAACUACUCGCCCCUCUCAAAAAUAUCUGAUGUUUUACAUUUGUUCUAAGUCAGACCAAUUUAAUUUUAACUAAAUUUAUAGGAAACAACAUUGGCGUCUACGACAUUAUCAACACCAAAUAUAUAUAAUAUAAAAACAUAUUUUCACUAGUUAUCAGUUGGUGUCAUAAACAUUUUAUUUUGUAUGAUAGGGGUUAAAAGAAAAAAACAUAUCAAACAUGAGGCAUAUACAGGGGUGUGUGUUUGUGUAUGUGGGGCCAUGUGGUCAGCAGGGGCGAAGCUACACAGAUAACAGUGGGUGCAGAUGCACCAUCCAAAAUUUAUGAAAACAAUGACUUUUUCUAAAAUUUCACCAUAUAUGCACUCCUAUAAUACAAAUCUAUGCACCCACAAGGCAAGUGCACCACCCUCUAAUUUGCUCUAGCUUCGCCACUGGUGGUCAGUGUUGUCUGCGGAAUGUUGAAGACCAGCCUGUGAAAUAUUAUUAUCUGUGAAAGAGGAUCUGGACUACUCCUCCCUUCGUAUCUAGGAUCCAAAUUAUCUAGCUCAUAUCGUCGACCAUCACCGGUGGCAACUUGCAAGGGGUGUGAUCCAAUAGCAACAUUCCCUAAUCCCUACGGAGCAAUACAGGAGUUCCACAAAAAAAAAGCGCAAUCUUAAAACAAAAAGGCAUGCAACAGCACAAUUCAAGCAGGAAAAGGAAACAAGUGUUCAUUCUUUUUUGAAUUCAACAGACAGACUUUAUUCAUUCAAACUUGUACCUGGAUCGAUGAACCCCCUAGCUUUAUUCUAGAAUUCUUAACAAGUGUUCAUUCACUUGAGCAUAGUUUAUCAUACGAGCAGGACGAAACAACACAUAAACGCUACAAAGGUUUGUAGUUUCAACAGAGUUUAUUCUCAAAGCAAAGCAGUGGUAGAUCCCCACACCGGCUUGGAGAUACCCACCUGCCAGUGUCGUUGCACUCCAUCAGACUCGCCCAUUCUUGCUAUGCCAGCAUCACAUCGGCAUGAGUUUUCACAUAGCUGCCAAUAGCCUAGUACGAUAUCUUCAUAGGCUAACUUUAUUUACAUAACAAGGUCUACAAGUUCUAUCAGACUUCGCUGUCAAACUUGAGGCAGAUCCCCAGGAGUUUCUGGUAGAGGAGCCUCGUGCCAUAGGGCACAUUGAUUCUCACUAUGUUCUCCGAAGAUUUGCAAAAGCCAUAGUGGGGCCACACAUAUUUUUUCCUCAUGAGACAAACCUCAUAACGCUAGUGUUUUCCUCCGAGAACAAAUCAACAUCAGUAUCAGUAUCGGCCAUAGAAACAAUCAGCCGAACGAGCAUGUCUAGCAAAUGUGCAUUUGGAAGAAGUCACUACGUAUGAAUAGGCGUCCAUGUAGGUUGGCAGCUGAGUAGGUGACCCAUGGGCGAGGAGGCAAUCACGCUCUAUUUCUCCAAAUUUAACUCGACCAAACCUUUUUCAGUCGGCAACAGGCUGCCUCGUGAUUAGGGUUUAGGAUUUAGGGUUAACUCCACCAAUCAUGCUCUAUUUCUCCAAACUUAACUCCACCAAACCCUAAACCCUGAUCAACUGAUACACGUGAAAUUACUGUCAACUAAUAUGAGCGGAUAACGCUGAUAUUAUUUUGUUUUUAUAUUUAUGUUUGGAUUUAGAUUUGAAUAUGGAUAGUAACACUAUGUCGGAUACGAUAUGAAUGAAUAUCGUUAUCAUAAACAUAUGAUCUCAGUAUUUAGAUAAGGAUAUCCAUAGUUGUAUACAGAUAGACCUGAACUGUUCUAAACAGAUUCGGACUCGGAUACGUUCAGAAAAUAUCCAUGUCAUUUGCACCCUACCUCUUGUUGUAAUCUCAAGUGAAUCGGUGCCUCUGCUCCCCACACUCUGCCGCACCUCACCCACAUGCAAGGAGGAUGGUAUUUUAGGACAUGCAAGGAGGAGAGUAUUUUAGGGUUAGACCACCCAAGCAAAGACGAGGGAACCUUGUUUUUUGAGCUCUGUCUAACGCCAAAGUCAUGUGUCAUCAGGUUUUCAAUGACUUCAUGGCAGAAGUUUUUUUUAACCAAAGUCAGCAGCAGAAACCCCAACCUAGGGAGUCAAACUCAGGCUUGCUGGGUGCAACCCAGGUGCUCUAACCACUAGGCUAGAGACCCUUUGACGAGAAGUUUCUUUUCACAAGUUUGGUAACAAAUUGAAUCAAAUUGCUCCUAAAUCUGGUGUAGCAUCUGUGCCAAAUAGAUCCUUAGAGUAUAUUAGAAUUCCUUCCCUUUAAACUUCGCUACCCAAACAUGGAAGAACCAUAAACUCCGAUCCAGGGGGGGUUGGAGUUAGGGAUCAGCUCCACAUUAUUCUGAAAGAACUUGAUUUGGAGUUCUAAAAUUGUGAUCAUGCAUACAAAGCAGAGGAGUGAGAUUAUUUUUUUUGAGAGAAACUGGAGGGGUUUACACCCCUACAGUGAAAACUAUUAUUAAAAAAAUACAGAACAGUACAAGGCAAACACGGAAGCAGAGCAAGAUAAGGAGGUUCAAGAGACAAAAAAAAAGAGAGAAAGAAAAUAAGAGAAAUUAAAAACAUUAAACAAGAUUGUUUAACCAUAGCUCUAUGGAAGGAAAAUAACUUCUUUUUGCACGAAGAAGGAUCAAUGCAAAUUCUGACUUGAAUGCCCGCUUUGUGGCUUCUACUGAUGGCUGCACUUGAUUGAAGAUUAGACCAUUUCUUGCAUUCCAAAUGGACCAACCCAUUAGUAUAAUAAUCUCCAUGAAAAAUGGGACAUGCAGCUGUAAUUUAAAACUUUCUAUAUUCCUGUGGAGAUCCUCUUGCAGAAUGACAUGACAGUUAAGCCAUGCCCAGCAUGCUUGAGCAAAUGGGCAGAGAAGCAUUAAGUGCAACAAUGAUUCCUCUGUUCUAUUGUUGCAAAGGACACAAUUAUAAUCUUGAAGUUCCAUAUUCUUCCUUUUUAACAACUCUCUUGUGCUUAAUCUAUCCUUCAUGAUAAGCCAAGCAAAGACUUUGUGCUUGUUUUGACAGCUGCUGCUCCAAAUCCAUUUAAACCCUAAAUGAAUAUGAUUGUGGCCACUAAGAUGUUUGUAGGCUUUUGCAACAGAGAAUUUACCAGAGCUCCAGAGGUAAGACCACUUAUCAGGAUCAUCAUUUAGUGUUAACUGAUGCAGUUCUGAAUCAAGCUGCAGGAAUUGAGAGUAGGCUUGCUGAGAUAAUGGGAGGUGGAAGAGGCCUGACAAAGGAUUGGUUCGUUUAGCUGCUGCCAGAGUAGUUGUUUGUGAUUUUGCAAAUGAGAAAAGUUCUUGGUAAGCUUGAUUGGGCACUUUAUCAUCCCACAUAUCAAGCCAUAGAUAACAGGAUUUGCCAUUGUUUAUGUUCACCUUUGCCAUUCCUUUGAAUUUGUCCAACAAUUUAAGAAUGUCUCUCCACCAAAAGGAACCUUUUCUUCCCUGGCAUGGCAAGGUGUCUGAAUCAUAAUAGCUUUCCCAGACUAGUGACACCCAUGGAACGUCUUCUUUGUUGAAAAACUUGUUCAGGUGCUUAAGUAGAAGAGCUUCAUUUUGGGUUUUAAGGUUUAGAACUCCUAACCCUCCUUCCUCUUUUGAUUUGCACACCAUUGACCAGGCUGCUUUUGGCCUCUGAUUAGCAUUGAUAUCAGCCCCUCUCCAUAGGCAUAAUUUCCUGUACUUAUUAAUCUGUUCAAUGACAGAAGAAUGAAUGGCAAAGGUGCUCAUGCAGAAAGUUGGGAAGGCUGAGAAGACAGAGUUAGUUACUUGGAGCCUUCCAGCUUGGUUGAGAAAAGUUGAAGUGGCGGCUAACCUUCUUUCACAUCUACUGACAAGAGGUGAAAAAUCAAUGACUCUUGGUUUAGUCAAACUUAAAGGGAGUCCCAAGUAAGUGAAUGGCAGACUGCCCUUUUCACAAUUAAAAGUCCUUGCUAGGUGAAGUAACCUUUCUUCUGAAGUGUUGAUUGGAACCAUAAUAGAUUUCGAGUAAUUAACCCUUAAGCCUGUGGAUUCACCAAAAGAGUGGAGUAAAGGUUUCAGGACUAACAACUGUCUGCCGCAGGCUUCCAUGAUGAUCAAGGUGUCAUCAGCAUAUUGGAUAAUUGGGAAAUCUUCAGAGGAUCUUAGUGGCAGAGGUAGGUUUAGAAGAUUCAGAGAUUUAGCCUUGUUUAAGACAGAUUGCAGAAGAUCGGCCACUAAGACAAAUAACAAAGGAGAGAGUGGGUCUCCUUGUCUUACCCCUCUCUUACAAUGUAUCGCCUUGCCUGGGACUCCAUUGAGAAGAACUGAAGAGGUUGCUGUAUAAAUGGAGGAGUGAGAUUAUACUAUGGCAGAAUCCCCAAGUCCUUGCCGUAAUCGAUCAUGUCAUCAUACAUCCCAUCCAGCAUCUUGUACUUGUAGUCGAACCCUUCCUUCACCAGUUUCCCGGACGACACGUGUACUCUCGGCUUCUCGAGCAGAUCGCCGGAGCUGCAGGCAAAUUGGAAAAUCACUAGUCAUCGUUCGUUCUUCGUUCCUCAGUGCAAGGCAAGUGUCAGAGUUGAGCGCUCGGCGGAAGCCGAUUCUUACAGCAGAUUCCUCUUCACAGUGUACUGCGGGUACUUCUCAGUCAGGAAACGUGCGAGCUGGAGGAUGGUCGUGUUGAGGCCGCAGCAGAGGUACCUCCCCGCGGCCGCCUCCUGCUCGGCGAGGAACACCUCGGCGCGGCACACGUCGUCGACGUGGACCAACGCCACCGUUCCUGACGCCAUCUCCAUGGCUCUCAUCACGCCGAACUGUGCCUCGUCGCCUGAAAGUAACAACAAUCAUGCGAUCGAACCUGACAAGCCGAUCGACGCGCGUGCCAUGAACAGAACACGCAAGAAGCCAAGAACUGACGAUAAGGCCGGCCUUGCGAUGGCGAUCUCGGCCUCACCGGAUAGAAGGGAGAGGCAGAUGGGGACGCUGGUGUGUGCGCUCGGUGCCGGCGCGGCGCCCACGGUGAUGACGGGGCAGACGGUGACGAGGCUGACGCCGUGCUCCGCCGCGAACCUGCUCGCCGCCUUCUCCAAGAGGACCUUGGACACCGGGUACGCCUGCGACACAGACAGUGCGUGCGUUUCAGUCUUUCAGAGCAUGGAAAGGUGCAGAACUGAACCUGAACUUGAACGGAUGCGUGUCCGCAUGUGUAGUUGUGUACCCAGAGACCAGACUUGGUGGCGGUGAGGUACUCGACGUCGGACCAGGACUCCUCGUCCAGGACAUGGCCGUCGCCUUGCAGCUGCCUCCUGGUGACCGAGGACGCCGACGAGGUCAGGACCACGCGCUUCACCGUCCCGGCCUUCACGCACGACCUCAUCACGUUGAGAGUUCCUCGGACGGCGGGCUCGAUCAGUUCUUUCUGCCAUGACGCGAUCGAGUUGGUUUCAGGGUUUGAUGAGGUCUACUGGUAGAAUAGAACACAGCUUCGUACUGAAUGUCUGAAUGUGUACAAUGUCUACUGGUAGAAGCUAGCUCACUGUCAAGCUUUAUCCAAAAUGGUCAUUUCUAGCUAGGAAAGUGGCGGUUUUCCUUUUCUUUUCUUUUUUUCCUUUUUUUUUGUGCCACAGUCCACACAGGCGGUACCUGAGCUGAGGAUCCUCCGACUUGAGGUUCACUGGAGCGGCGACGAGGAAAGCGUAGUUGCAGCCGGCGACGGCGUCGUCGAAGCUGCCUUCUUCGUUGAGGUCGGCGCGGAAGACCUCCAGGGGGCCAAGCGCCUUCAGGUCCUUGAGGUGGGAGUUCUUCGCCAUGUCAUCUACGGUUUCAGAAUCAAAAUAAAAACGGCCAAGCACGUUUGCUGUGAUUUGGAAUCGUGAUGAACAGAGCUAAUGCAUAUUGUAUUUGUCACGUUUGCUAAUACAGGAUUCGAUUCCAGAUGUAUGUAUAUGUAAGUAAAAUUAGCAUUCGAAUAUUCCAGAUUUACCCGCGUCAAUUUUGGCGACAACAGCGAAAGAUUUCACCUGAUGAUCAGACAAACAGGAACGAGAAAAACUUGGUUGAAAAGGGAACCGAAACCGAACCGGGGUUCCUGACCGUCGUCUUCACGGCGUAGCCCUUCUCCAGCAGCAUUUUGAUGAGCGCGGAGGCGAUGUACCCGUUCCCUCCCACAACCAGAUUUUUUAAUUUCUCCUAGUAGUGUGCGGUUCUCCUAGUGUUUUAGCAUUCAAAAUUUAGUAUAAACUUUCCCUAGUAAAUACCUCCUAGUGGAGAUUCCCUAGUGUUUUGACUAAUGGUAGUGUUUUAUUACUAACUGAAAACACUAGGAGAACUCCACCAUUUUAGUAGUGUCCGGUGACACACGCCGUCUUCUUCCUGUCGCCGGUCCACAUCGCCGGCCGGCGCUCCUCAAAACGGGAUGGAAAGAGGAGGAUUCAAUCGCUCGCUCAGCAGAAUUUUAAUCACCAAGGAACAGACAAGAUCUUCACUAGGAAGAAACGGAGUGGUCCUGCCGGACUGGUGGUUGCUUCCUGCCUGUUGUUGUCAAGUUGCAAACGAGGACAAAACCAUUGGCACAUUGUUUACUAACCUCUAGUACUAUUGACGUUAUAAGUCAUUUCACCCCGAUAACAAAUAAUUCAAAUAAUUGAGGCACUUCCCUCUCUUUUUCAACACAACAAGCAUACCAUAUCCCACAAAGAGUAUAGUUAAGCAUUUUCAACUUUAUACAGUAAAUUAUUAAUAUUUAUGGUGUCUAAUAAGUAUUAUUAGACCAAUUGUUGAAUAGAUUUUUAAAAUAAUCUAAUUUGGAGAUAUAAAUGUUGCUAACAUUUUAUAUAAAUCUAAACUUCAGAUAGUUUGACCUGUACAAGAAACCAAGCGACCUUGAUUUUAGGAUAGAGAGAAUACUAGUUUCUUAACUAAUAUUGUUCGCUGGUUUGGAAAGUCUUAGCUGAAAAUAUUGUUCGACCUUAAUUGUUUUAAGCGAACAAUUUCUUAACUAAGAGCAUUUUUUUUGGAAAGUACAAAAGUAACAAGUUUUGAUACACAGAAACGCAGAGCCAACUGACCGGAACCUCUACAGUUCAGCUAGCGUAUAGGUACAGAGACAGAGCCAAUUUAUUUCCAACUUCAUUGUAAUUUUAUUUGGUGCUCUCCAGAGGCGAAGCUAGAACAAAUUAGAUGGGGGUGCCUCUCUUUUAUAUGUGCAAAAAUUUAAUCCACAACCAUGAUGAAAAUGUGUUUCUAGUAGUGGUUUUUCAAAAUUUUAUGGGUGCCUGGACACCCACAAGCUACUAAGUAGCUUCGCCCCUGGUGCUCUCGAUCGCCUGAUCCGGUCAUAGAUGGAAGACAACGCAUAGAAAGUAUCAGGUCGGCAGAAUCCCCAGGGCCUUGGCGCCUUGCCGUGCUCCACCACGUCCCUCUCGGAAGCAUUCUCCCGAUGCUAGAGCUCUGCUCUCCAUGAGUCAGCGGGGCUCCUCAACGGUUGUCAUAGGCUUCUGGGUGUGCGUCUGUAGGCAUUUUAAAUCUGGGUGAAAUUCUUGCCCGCAUGUUGCUCGAGGCCAGUGAAGAUGGUGCAAAUAGGGUCGUAUCCCUCGCUCGAGGCAUCGCUGCAGUUCCCAAUGCCUACUACCACAAAUGCCAUUCCGACCUUGCUGCUUGCAGGUCUCAAGGCGAAAGCCCUUCCAAGCCUGAUGCUUCGAGCUUCAAUGGUGGCGUCCGUGGAUGUCACUUUCUUUCUUAAAGGCAUUGAAAUAAGCAUGUCUGCUUUUCUCUACCCCUGGCAUGUUCUUGUGCUCUCUGUAAUUGCUCUCCCAUCUCAUCUUGUUUUUUGUCUGACUACCCUCCUACCCUUUGGCUCUUGCAUAUGUUGGGUUGCAUGGACCUUGAUCUCUUCUCUGAAUCUCCUUGUUCACCUUUGAGGCUUUCUUCCUCCAAAUGACAUUGGUGGGCAUUGGUUGGAGCCCAGAUGUGCUCAUAGGCGAUGCAUCUCACGGUUGUAUGUCUUACAGCCUCCUAGCUGUCGUCUAUCAGAUCUUAUUCAAUACCUUACGACUGCAUGUGGUUUACAGUUCUUUGGAGAUGGUGGCACAUGUUAGGAAGUAGUGUUUGUAUUCACCCCGGUUAGUAGGUUGAGCUGGUAGCUGAACCAUGUUGUUGUUGCUGAUAUUAUGUUGUGUUGUUGUUCGUGUUGAUGUCAUUGUCAUCUCUCCCCAUCUCUCUUUGUACCCUGUUGGACAUUCCAUGUGUGACUCAUGUAUUCGGUAUUUUGCACCCUCUAUUACCUGCUUGCCGGAUCCAUGGAGAAUAUAUUCGGUGUUAACCUAAAAAACAAAAGAGUUGCUUUUGCCCGAUGACUUUUAAGCCAUUCUUGGUGACUUUUCCUUCGACAUACAAAAGAUCGUUUCCUCUCUUUGACACGAGAGACCGGAGAGAACUCCAAUCCCAUCCACUCAAAUCAGAUUUUCUUUGGAACAAAAUCCAUCAUGACAGACCUGAGAACCUGUCAAAUCAAGUGCCACUACGAGCUUGUUUGUCAUCACAAAAUACUUUUUCUUCUGCAAACAAAAAACUUACGUCUUUUCACAGAUUUAUGGAUGAGCUUACUUGCAUCCUUGACUUUUAUUAUAAGAACACAACAGAGCAAUUCAUAUCUUAUUUGGAUGCUCGGUGUGAAAACCAUUAUUGCUUUUUUAAAUUCCGAAAUUUUAAUACAGGAAAUUUUGAUUUUUUUAAAACUCGUGUCUCCUUUUGAGUUCUAUAUACACAAGUCUAUUUGCAGGUUCACUUGCAAAUCCAUUUACAUAUCCGUAAAUCUUACUAUGAACAAACACAAUAGAACAAUUCAUGUUUAGAUGUUCGGUUUGAGAAGGAUCCUCUUUUUUUUAGAAAAAAGGACGUUGCUAGAGCGUGCACGCACAUGAUUUGGUGUUUCAGUGCACACACCUCUCUAGCAUGCAGUUUUUAUUCGACAAAAAACAUUGCUCGAUUUUUUUCCCGACUCCAGCACCCUCGCCAGCGCCCUGUUUAGGUGAGCUAGGAUUUCGUUGAAGCUCUGACAAAAUCAUACCUUGCCUGUGACACCACCUUCUUGCCCUACCCACCCCCUUCUCUCCUCCCCCCGCCGCCAUGGCCACCACCACCACCAUGGCUAGAGCUCCUCUGCCCCAACCACCUCUAACGCCACCAGCUCCCCUAAGCCACCCAUUGGCCAUCCCUAUACCGCCCGGCUUAUCUACUCUCUGUGGCCAAUCAUUCCAGAGUUGGGGAGAAGAAGGAAGAGCUCACCAGAACCCUAGAGGAGAGAGGAAAGAGAGGAGGAGGAGGAGGAGGAGGAGGAAGAGGAGGCGGCCUACCUGACGUCACCGCGACCAUGAUUCGCUGCCACUGCUACUGCAUCCGCCAUGGCCACGAGCAGGGGAGGCGGUGCGGGUAUGGGCGUAGGGAGGCAAUGGGGCACGGGCACAGGUUGUUGCAGAGAGAGAGGCGUGGGGGCAGCAGCGGCUGGGUGGGGGUGGGGGUUAGCGGGCAGCGGCCUGAAAUCCAGAGCAUUUUCAAUUAAGCAUUUUCCGUUUAAAAAUGUUUCAAAAAAAAUUAGCACAAGAACUUCUGUUUGGUAAAGUUAAUUUUGCCCUUAAGGGCAUAUGCCCUCACUCUCCCAUCCAUUGGAUUCGCUUUGAGAAGUGUGCAAACACACAUCUCAAUGCGAAACUACUUUGAGAUGUGUGUUUGCACACUUCUAAAAGCGAAUCCAAUGGGUAGAAGAGUGAGAGCAUGUGUCCUUAAGGGUAAAAAAAAACCGCCUUCCUGUUGUUUUCUCCCGCGCUAUGCAUGGCUCUCUGGUGUCCAAGACAUCUUGGUCCCGCACUUGCUCAUCUCAGCCCGAAAUCAAAACACAGACGGACGAGUGGUUGGAGGAGCGUUGGACGACUCCAAAGUCCAAACCCUCGUAUAGCCCCCAGAAUUCUUCCGCCCAAUGGUGCGCGAUUUUUCCGAUAUAUGAACACAUGCGCAAAUUGUACGUUGAUAUCACAAUGUACUCGCAUAUCGCCUUCGCCCGUGUAUGUGUGGUUGCGCGUCGUAUGGUGCAGGAGCUACUCCUAGGAACUAACCAACCAACGAUAGAUCAACCAUCAGAGACAUCUUGGCAGUCAUGAAAGCCGGUAACGGAUCUUUCGAAAAAGACAUCUUGGCAGUCUACUUGAAUGGCCAAUUAUUCUUUGUUGUCUGAACCCUAUAAGAUGCAGGCAGCAGCAGGGUCGUUUUUCAACCACCAGAGCCACAACACCUACUCCUAUAUUCAAUUCCGGCGCCAAUCCUCUUCUUCAUCAUCCCUUCCAAAGUGCCAGUAUGCCGGGCGCCGAUGGUGCGAAGACGGUGUGCGUCACAGAGCUAGCUCUGGAAUAUUUUCUUGCAUGCAUGCCAUGAAUCCAUGACCAUGGCGUGGGUGCCUUGUCGAUUUGCAGCUCCGGCGGCGAUCUGCUUGAGAAGCCGAUCGCGCUGCUGCCGUCCACCAAGCUGAUCAAGGAAGGGUUUGAGUUCAAGUACAAGACGCUGGAGCACAUCUACGAGAACAUGGUGGAGUACGGCAAGGCCCUGGGGAUCCUUCCCAACUGAACUGUUGUGAUGAUGAUGAUGCUCCGUGUGCUUUUGAUUUGAUCUUCCCGUACCCGCAAAAUAAGUCUUGUCUCUGCACUCUGGUCACGUCAUCAGAAGGCAGAAAACUGCGGGUGGUUUGAACGUAGCUCCCCAUUUUCUGUAGGAGUAUUUAUUUUGCGAGCAGUUUGGUUAUUAAUUGACUAGCUUUUUCGCUGUUUUUUAGAGGAAGUUUGAAUGUGCGUGGCAUGGAUCGCCUGUUCCUUAGAAAUGUGUUUUCUGAAGAAGUUUGAAUGUACCGCCGGGAAAAGAUCGACCAAUCUUAUGCCAGUCACAUUUAUCUGCUUUAUGCAUUUCUGCAUGACACAUCUCUGUGUCUUGAGCAAGGGUAAGGGUAAAUUAUCAGUCAUAACCACCAAUUAUUAGCACUCUCCAACACAAAGAUGGCACGCUGAAUUUUGAAUAAAGAUCGAUUAAAUUUGUAAAUUUCAUCCGAUAUAUUUAUCAUCAAAACCAAUUUUAUCAGCAAUAAUUAUGUCUCUUUCUACCAUCUGAUAAAAAGCUGGCACCAUUAGCCAAAAAAACAUUUAUUGUCUCUCUUAAUACAAAAACGUGCAAACCUUUUGCGUGAUCUGAAAACAAAAUUAGCCAAAAAAAAGGCCUAGUGUUCUCGGCCUGCACUACAUUUCUCCUAUUGGCAAUUGGCUUCAAGAGCAUCAAUUCGCUGCAACUCUACCCACUUUUUUAUGUAAACCUGUUUUAGGUAUUGCUUCGAAUAUAUUUUAUUCUAAAAGUGAGUUAGAAAUCUUCAAAAAAAAGUACGAGUUAGAAAUAACAAAAAUAACAAAGAUACAAAGAUACUCGUUUCAGGUUAAAAUGUAACAUUUACUUUCAUUUUUUUAUUUCCAAUUUGGACAUUUUUGUGGGUACACUUUCUUUUUUACUUUGGGAAGAAAAACAACUUUUUCAAAAUAUUAUCCCUGUCUUUGUUUAUUUUUGGAUUCGAACAAAUGUCUCUAAUCUUUGCCCACUAAGGGCACUCACAAUGCAGACUCUCUCAUAAAGUCUAAAGUUAUUUAUUACCUCGAACAAUGUGGACUUAGAGUCUAAAUAAGACUUGGUGUCUUAUUUUUUUCUACCCAUUUCUUUAAUAAAUAUGCUGCCACAUCAGCAAAAUACCAUAAAUAAUAUAUAAUUAAUUGUCUUAGACUCUGUGAUAAAAUCUUGCUUUGUGAAUGCCAUAAGGACUUAACUUUCCCGGUGGUAAAUUUGAUUCUUAGCAAAAUGGCAGCAAAGCACAUGAUGAUGGCAUGGGCACGCUAUGUCUGAACGUACAAAACUCAUGAGUUGAGUCAGUUCAUUGAGCACGUUCCUCCUUUUUCGCUUUCAACAGGAUCCUAAGAAGAUCGAGGCGUGGCAUAAAGUACUAUUUGCUGAUUUGUUAUGAAAAAAAAUACUAUUGAAUAACAUUUGUUAUGAAGCAUUUUGAGGUACUCUACUAGCCGUUUUUGCUUUUUCCCCACUAUUAAUAUCUGUAGCUUAUAUGAGCGAAAGCGAUCAAACAGUUGAGAGAACGUUCUCCACGCGUGACAUUGAUCGAACGCGUUCAGGGGGUAAAAAGUCAGAAGCAAGAUGUGACGGGAAAGCUUCGACAAGGUAGCCUGUCCGUGCGCCGCUUUGACGCUUGGUUGGACAAGUGUACUGAGGCCUUGUUUAGUUCCAAAAUAUUUUACAAAAUGGACAUCGUAGCUUUUUCGUUUGUAUUUGACAAAUAUUAUCCAAUCAUAGACUAACUAGGCUCAAAAGAUUUGUCUCGUCAAUUUCGACCAAACUGUGCAAUUAGUUUUUAUUUUUGUCUAUAUUUAGUACUUCAUGCAUGUGUCUAAAGAUUCGAUGUGACGGGGAAUCUGAAAAAUUUUGCAAAAUUGUUUGGGAACUAAACAAGGCCUGACUACUGAGUGUGCGACAGACAGCGAGUGUGGGGUGGUAUGCAAACGUUGGUCUUGAUCGAGCACGCUUCGACUUUUGUUUGGUGGAUGGUGGAGACGGAGAGAGAUAUUUCUCGCACUGUGUCCCUGCACUGCAUGAUUGCUUCUUGUCAUGUGUCAUCUCCAGAGCGCUCGGUGCUCCUGCCGCCGUGUGUGUCCGAUCCUUCCUGAAUCCUGAGACGAGUGCUAGCAGUACAAGUGGCAGCGACAAGCCGACAUGGUGACAAUGACAGUAUUUGACAUGGCGGAUAGCGAGUGGCGACGACGGUGCGACUCGAUCGUGGAUAUCAUCGCUCCGUGGACGACCGUGGGCGAACGCGAGCAUUGCCAUCAUGGUCAGGUCCUCUCCGUGUCACGUCGUAGGCCAGCACCAUCGUCCAUUGCGCUCUUGCCGAUGCCAUCUGCCCUGCGAUGGUUUUGGAUACAGAUUGUUGUCUACUAUUACUGCUAGUAUUUGCAAAUGGUGAAGUGGAUUUCGGACUCGAGGUUUGAUUGUUGGAUUAUGAAUGGCGUGAGUAAUCUGAACGAUACCUUGUGAGUGUCGAUUGUGAUGCUCUCUGACCCGUGCAGCUACCAUGCCACGAUAGCAGAGAACAGGUAUUUUAAUGUUGCAUGUAUAUAUUGUAAAAUUUAAUCUGAUGAGAAAUUUUUAAAUUUUUUUGUUUUUUUGGGUGAACUAAACAAGACCUCUGUCCACCAAGCAGCUUUGAUUUCAUCCAUGCAUCUCUACACUGUUCCCUACUAUAACGGGCCGAGAAAGGCCUGUUGUCUACAAUGCAACAAGUGUUUUUCUUUCUAUCGGUCCAUGCACAAAAUGUUGGGCGCGAGAAUCAAACCAUAUACUGUACUCCUCUUGUCUUGGUCCCAUGCUACUCUUCCUCCUCUAUUCCUCCCGGGCCCAACUUCUCCGUUUGCCUGUGCCUAGAGUCCUUGAUGAAUUUAACCCCUACUAGAAUACCCGUAGGGCUUCUCUAGAGAAACGGUGUCGUCAUUUUUUUUGGUCCGCUCGAUUUUCCAACCCGGUGGUUGGCGAUGUUUGGAGCUGAUUCUGAGCUGAAUUACCUGGUUUCCUGAUUACCUACGUUUCUUACAGCACGUUUACUGCUUUUGCCCACUUUUACUGGCCUCCGCUUUGCUUUCACUGGUUUCUGCUUUCCGUAUCAGGGGGACAUUAUACACGCGUUCCUGGAUCGCUGUCUGGUACCUCCGCUGCUUUUAUAUGGACCUAGCGUCCAUAGAAUUUUCUUCCAUUUGCGUGCCUCUCUUCUUUUUUGUGUGUGUGGGCGGGCAGUGUGUGUGUGUGCGCGCGGCAGCCACAUCAUCCGACACUGGCGAAGCUAAAGUGAAUUAGAGAAGGGUGCACUUGUCUUGUGAAUGCAUAAAGAUAGUUUGUAGAGGUACAUGUAUGGUGAAAUUUUAACCAAAUAUACUAUUUUUGAAUUUUUUGGGGGUGCAUUUGCACCCCCUAUGAGCAACGCAGCUCCGCCCCUGUCAUCCGAGGAGGUGUCAGCUUCGAUCGCUGCUGCCCCAAGCAUACAUCCAUUCCAAAACGUGAGGAUCAAUUCAAGACCAACGGCAUCGCAAUCGGUCGUUUUCUAAGCGGGAGUAUAUAGACGAUUAUUUAUGUUUUACAUAAAAAAAAUUCUAAGAGUUUUCGCAAAUCUCAUUCUCUAUAUCAUCAUUUAGAGAACUAUUUCUAUAAAAAACGUUUUCUAUAUUUUUUUCACUCUCCAAUAGAUUUUUUAUCUCACAUGCGCACUUUAGAGAGUCAUUCUCGUUUUUUAUUUUUGGCUAGUGAAAAAUCCUGAAUAGAAGAUGCCUAUAUUUGCGAACUGACAACGACGCAGGAGGGAAAAAAGCAUGGGCAACGAGUGGAUCCAUAAUUCUAUUUUUUGCAAAGAAAUUAUGGAGAACGGUUGGAGAUUGACUCUUUUUAUAUUUGCCAUAUUCGUUUGUGAGUUGACAAACUUCAUAUUUUGCCAAACAAAAAAUACAAAACUGUUAAAGUUGCUCUAAAAUCUCUAUUCCUAGCAUUUAGAACGGAUUUAGAGAGUCUCUUAGAGUUGCUCUAAUAAAAUACUUCAUUCACAUAAAUGGAGUAGCAGGCAUCAGGCUCCGCCUUUUUUGUGUCAAUCAACUGGCAACCACACUUGAGGUCAGAAAGACACACACCAUCUCGUCGCAUACGGACCGAUUCUGGGAGGGAGCGAGAGGCCAAUAAUCCGCAUCGUCCGUCAUCUAUGUCUGCCAGUAUGCCGGCGGGCGCGGGUGCUGCUAGUGCUAGCAAGGGGAGGAAGAAGACGGCGUGCGUCACCGGAGGCAACGGCUACAUCGCUUCGGCACUGGUGAAGAUGCUGCUGGACAAGGGCUACGCCGUCAAGACCACUGUCAGAAAUCCAGGUUUGCAUUUCGUCAUUUGCUUCUCCUUCCCUGCUAACCUGAAUACCUGAUGAUGAGGGCACGUAAUUACUUUAAUUAAAUUAGCAACCGUAAAACAAACAAAAUCGAUCUGAAUAACGAACGAACGAACGAACGCAGAUGACAUGGACAAGAACUCCCACCUGAUUAUGGAGCUGCAGUCGCUCGGCCACCUGGAGGUCUUCCGCGCCGACCUGGACGAGGAAGGCAGCUUCGACGACGCCGUCGCCGGCUGCGACUACGCCUUCCUCGUCGCCGCUCCGGUGAACCUCACGUCAGAGA
rnacentral:lncRNA from 1 species